rnacentral:lncRNA from 1 species
AAUAAAUGCACUUCAUGGAGAGAGAAAAGUGAUUUUUUAGUGGUCCCAAUGAGAACUAUCUCCAGUUAGCACCUCUUGGGUGGGAUAGUUUUUUUUUGGUGGGUUCGGUGCAACUUGCUCCAAUUUAAACCCUCAUGCUUGGAUACUUUAGGGCUAUUUGAGCCCCAACUAGCUCAAACUAACUCUAACCCAUGGAUCCAAACAAGGCCUAUGGCCAGUCUCGACGCAGAGCAGUUGCGUGUACCGGGAAGCGGCGCUCUCUCGGUCGUCGCGCCACUUCAAAGCCGGCGCCAGUGAGAGGUCACCUCCGCUCUGGCCAGGCAUUAAUGCAGCACUGACGCUCCAGGGCGACGCUGACCGUUUCACGCGGGAAGCGCGCGCUGGCAAGGGAGUAUAGGUUUUGAACCGUUUCAGGUGUAGUACUGGUAGUUUGCAAAACUACUCAAUUAUUGCACUCAGUUUUCUAAGAAAUUGUGGUAAAAAACGUUACUCCACAGCCCGCUUCCCUUCUCCUUCCUCUUCCACCGCCCGCGCACGUCCGCGGGAAGCGACCAGUCAACCCUUAUAUAGGAGUGCUAGCACAAAAAGAUGCAUGCAUGACCACUAAAAUUUCCAUAUUAAAGCGCCGCUCCGGCGGGAGUAUGGCGUAUGUUGUUACCUUCGGCUGGCCCAUGGCUACCGGGCGCGGUGACCAGAGAAGAGGCGGCGGCAGGGGAAUGAAUGCAGCUACUGUUUGGGUUCGCCUUCCAGCUUAAAUAAAUGCGCAGCAUCACGUGUACCCGCGGGUGCACAAAUUGUAACAUAUGUGUCUGCUUAAGUGGGCAUCACGUAACUGGUGUGUGUGUGAGAGAGAUUCUGAGAGACAGAGUGCGUGUGUGCGACUCUACUCUUCGGACAUGUACUCAACCUUUUGCAUCGGGAUAUAAGUAUAAUGGUAUUUACUUUAGCUAGUGAUUUACGUGGCCAUGUUAACGUGGUCGUGUCAAAAAGAUGUCACUUCCUGCUCGUGAUUUGCGUUAUAUAAUUACAAGCAAGAUUCUCGUGCAUUGCACGGAACAUCAAUAUGCAUUUUUUUACAGAACACCUGUUGUGAUUGACCCAUGCAGGAGUAAUCCCAUGUGUAAAAACUAAUGAUAUCUCGAGAAUUUUAUGGGAAAACUGGUAUCUCGAGAAUGUCAUCGAAAAAAUGAAAGAUGAGAGAUAAGGCGAGGAGGAGUGGAGCGUGGUGGUGACUGGUGGUCGGAAUGGGCGGAGGCAUGGGGAUGGACGGCGCCGGCAGGCGGCAGCGGCCACCAUGCAUGCUAGAUUGUUCCAGAGACUUAUUCCUUUUUUAAUUGCUGAGCAAUGAGGUUGCGGGAGAUAAUGAUGUGGAGAGAGGUGCGGGUAUCUUUUGUAAAAUUAUCAUAGUUUGCUUUCUAUCCUCAGAUAUAGAUCAUACGGUCUGUAUUACAAGAUGGCAGGCACACCAUCACCGCCAACUCGUUUUUUUAUAAGGGUACAGAUGAUAAGUUUGCUGACUACUAAAGUAAAGUGGAAUUUGUCCAUGUUAUGCAAGUAAAUAAAGGUGAUUGUUUAUCAUACGGGUAAGGUUGGAUGAAGGGUGGUAGGAGCAUGUGUGUGUGAGAUGGAGUCUUAGUGUGUGUGUGAGAGAGAGAGGAGAGAGAGAGAGAUGGAGUCUUAGUUUGUGUGUGUGAGAGAGAGAGAGAUGGAGUCUUAGUGUGUGUGGGGGAUGUGCGUGCGUGCGUGUGUGUGUGUGAGAGAGAGAGAGAGAGAUGGAGUCUUAGUGUGCGUGUGUGUGGGGGGUGCGUGCGUGUGUGCGUGUGUGUGUGUGUGUGUGUGUGUGUGUCGCGGGGUCCUCUGUGGAGGAUGUAAUUUAAGUGUGCAUGGCUUCAUCAUAGAGAGGUGAUGUGUAUGGCAGAGGCCACCAAUGAUGGGGUGCGAGAGAGAAAAUGCCCAUAGAGAGGGAAGAGAAGGUGUGUGCGCGUGAGAGGAGUCGACAUCGAGAGAACGUGUUUGUUCGAGAGACACCGAGGAAGACUACUAUAUAUCGAUGGUGCAUGUAGGCGGGAAUUAAACAAAGGGAUGGUCUUAUUGGUUUCGGGGAUAUAGGGGAAGAGUGAGAGGCGGGGGGUAGCUAGAAGGAGAUUGUUAAGUGUGAGUGUGUGUUUUACCCAUCCAGGCAGAAGUUAUGUGCACAAAAGAGGAGAACGAUUCGAUGUGGCGUUAGGAUUGAGGGUAAUUAAACGUAUGGAGACAUAGAGACCUUGAACGUGCAUGUGUGAGAUGUAUACAUGUAUACGUGGGAUGUGUGUGUGUGCGUGCGCGCAUGAUCAAGAUAAAAGAAAGAAGACAUAAGUCAUAAGAUCAACGACAUGGGAGAGACGGAUCGGUAUGACAAUAUGCAUGCAUGUGAGAAUGCAGGGAAGAAGGCCCGACAAUUGAGCAUGUGUUUUUGUCUUUAAGAGAUAGUGGCGUGGGCUGGAGCAUGCAUCUAUGGCGAGCAGAGGGAGUGAGGCGCAACGAUUGUGCAAAAGAGACCAACCUAUAAAUGCAUAUGUAUGGAGAGACAUAUAUAGUGUGGGUGAUAGGAAGCAAGACUCCGUGUGAGAAAGAAAUGUUGACAGAGAAACUACAGAUAGAUACAGAGAUGGAGAUGCUAGCUAGAGGGACAUCCGCUAGUUUGGGUGUUGGAGAUGACCGUCGGGUGGUUCAAAGGGUGAAGUUAUAUGUGUGUGUGAGAGGGCACUUGACUGCAUGUAGAGAGAAACAUAUGUAGUGUGUGUGAUAGGAAUCAAGAGUGAGGGCGAGAAAGAAGGUCGAUGGAGAAACAGAUAAAUAGAAAGAUAAAGAUGCUAGCUAGUGUGCGUUAGAGAUAGGAGUCGAGUGGAUCAGAAGGCUGGGUUAUGUGUGUGGGUGUGAGAGAGAUAGAGAGAGGGUGCAUGUGAGUCACAUACAAACAGAUAUCAGAGAGAAAUGAGAUCCAGAGAGACGGAGUUUUGUGUCUGCAAGAGAGAAAGUUAUUUCACAACGAGAGUGAUAGCUAGAGAGACAUACGAGGGAACGCAAGAUAUCUCUAGGGAGAGAGGGUGUGUGUGAGCGACAUACAAGAGAACAAUGGAGAAAUAUGAGACCCUGGGAGACAGAGUUUGUGUUUGUGUGUGAGAAAGAGAUAUUGAAGAGGAAGAGUCAUAGGUUCUCAUAUCUAAGGAGCGAAAGACAUCUCUGUAUGAGGGGUGUGCGAGUGGCACACAUGGGAAUAGUAGAGAGAAAUGAGACCCCGGGAGACAAAGUUUUGUGUUUGUGUGAGAGAAAGAGAUUCCACAUGGAGAAUCAUAGUUAGAGACACAUAGCAGGGAGCGAGAUAUACUUAGAGAGAGAUAGAGUGAUGAAGGUCGAGGGAGAGAGUACCGUCAGUGUGUUAUAAAGAUAAAAGAUCAUUGUCGACAUACAGGUAGCACGAGAGAUACCUGAGAGACGAUGAACGCGUAUAGGUCCAGAGAGAUAGUCCUAUAUAAGCAUGAGUGAUAGUUAUAUGAGACGAAUAUCUGGAUUAAAGGGGAUUCAAAUAUUUAAACUGGAGAUCACGACAUCGAUAAUAUCAUAACGCAAAUUGGUGUAUCAAACAUGCAUAUUCAUUUGAAUUUGGGCACACGUGUAAUGUUAUAUAGUUUAUCAAUAUUGGUGAUCCAUAGAUUCUUCAAUUACAAACAAUGCAUGGUUUAUAUGCAAUUAAUGUCUAAACGGGAUUACACUAUAUGUUGCGUGUGUGAAACACAUUAUACAUGUUUGAGAAGUAAAAAAACCCGCAUGAAACACACAUUAAUUGGAGAUAGUUAGCGAGGAAUGCAUACAUUGGAUUUCAACAUAAAGUGGUUUCAAAUAUUUGAAAAUCCAAAUUGAUGGAUACAACCUUAUGAAUCUGAGAUCAUGCCAUUUGUAAACCAUAUUUAUGUAUAAAUGGUGUUGUGCUUUUGAAAGUAUAUUAAAAAAUGAUGUAUAUAGAAUGUAAUUCCAAUUGAAAAUGGAUCCCGCCCGGAAAAAAAAUAGAAUACAAACGGGAUUCGAAUUGAGUUGGCACGGUAAACGUGCACUCUGCAAAAUUUGAACGAAGCGGGGAAAGUCGUAGUAAUCGCUCGAAACCAAAAUCUGCGAGAUGGAAAUCACUACUGCCUAUCCCUGGCACGCAAAGCCUAUCUGCUGGAUUUCUAUAGGUUUCGAUAGGGGUAGGUUUGUAAUUUCACCCAAACGUGACGUAACCGCCUCUCACCCGGAUUCAUACACGGUGGGCGCCAAAACACAGUGUGUCCUCGGCCGAAAUCGACUCCCUCCCCGAUUCAUAUUCAUACAUGGUGGGCGCCAAAAACAAACUCUCGUCUGCAAAUAUUCGGUGUAUGCGAGAUUACCGUCUUAUCCCCAACCAACUAAUGUUGUUGUGAUGUCGUAGAAAUUUGAAACGGGGGCUAAGUUUGUAAAUUUCCUCGCAUUUGAGACAAGCGCGCCCUGAAUACAUGGUUCCCCCCUUCCUCUCUACCUCCCUUUUCCCCAUUCGUACUCUGUGGGCGCCAAAACACCCUCUCCACCCCACCCUCCUCCGUCCGCCGCCGUCCGCCACCCCAUCCACCGCCGUCCUCCUCCACCAUGCCGGAGCUGAUACCCCGACGCCGCCGUCCAUUACAAGAGACCGACCUCUCUCAUCCACGGCUUCGGACCGGGAUCCUUGCAUCCCGUCCUCUCGCUUCAUCCCCGCCGUCAUCCACCUUGCCGGCGCCGCUCCUACGACCGUCUCGUCCACCGUGCCCCGCCGCCACCGUCUACCCUCCUAGAUCUGCUUCCACGCCACCGACAGCCAUCGCUACCGCAGCACCAUCAAAUUCUCAGCAGAUGCGUACACGGCGCCGCACCAGAGGCGGUACUCUUUCGUAUCUGCUCAACUUAUUUAUCGCAGCAAGAAAAUAGAUCGUCACUGCUUUACUCUGAUUUCUUGUCUUGGUUGCGAAGUUGCCUUUGUCCGGUUUGCACCUUCAGAUCCGCCGUGCCACUCUCAACACUAUACUCCCAAUGCUUAUGGUUUUCCUCUUUUAUAUUCCAACAGUAGACUAAAUUUCAAAAUUGGGCCAGUCGAUUUUUCAGAGCUCGCCGGAGUUCGCCGGUGCGAUCGAAGGGUCUCGGGUGGUUGUGGGGCCUCGCCGAACGAAGAAAACUCGACGCAGGUGGGUCUCGGAGUAAAUAGCCACGGGUAGCCUAACCGACUGCCCCUGGUUCUUCUGAAAAAAUUAUCAGGCCUUCGGGCCUCCAGGCACUCCGAGCAUCGGGCCGCCUUCCCUGGCCGGCUACUCCUGAAGCCGACUUCCGGAAGGCGACCCAGCCUCAGCAACCACUCCCCAAGACAACUAUCGGGCGGCCGACUCCAAGAAGUCGGCCAAGAAGAGCGCCGACUCCAAGGAGCCGGCCGAGACCACAACCACCCAAGCUACACCCACAUAACGGUGACAAGACGAGGUGUGGCCACAGUGCGGCCCACUACCCCCGAGGCCCGAGGCAGGCGUGGCCACAGGAGGCCGUACGGGACGAUUGUCUCCUGUGCGGCUCGGCACUGUAGCCAUGCCAGCCUCAACGUCAUCCACGACCGACUCCUGUACGGCCCGGAGGCGUCGGGCCCAUUCCGCCAGAGAGAGGCGCGGAGGCAGCCCGGCCUCCCCCAGUCGGCCGAGGGUGUAGCCGGCCCCCAGAAGCCGGCUACUCCCUUCCUCGAAGCAGGAGCCCCAUUAAGGAGACAAGACGGGGUAAGGCUACAGUGAGAGCCCCCGAGGCGGCCCACUGUAGCCACGCUUACCUCGACGAAGCCCUCGUCAUCAGAGGCGAGGCUACAGUAAGCAGCCGCCGACAAGACCCUAGGCGGUGGGGCCGGCCUGUCGACCAAGAAGCCGGCAGCCGGCGGGACCCACCAGCCGGCGGGACCCAACAGCCGGCGGAGAAGCCAGCAAGCGUAGACACUGACGGCUGGGACCAGUGCCCAGCCGGAUUACCAUUGUACCCCCGGGGGGUAGGCCUAUAUAAACCCCCCGGAGCACCCAUGCAAAGGGUUGGCUUCCAAGCAUAGCACACACACCAUAGAUAGAGAGAAGCAAGACCUAGCCUUGUUCUUCUUCUCCCUUGAUCCCAACAGCUCUAGGAGCGAUUGUAGCUACCUUUCCUCGAUCUAGUGAUCAUGCGGAGACCCCGCAGAGCAGGACUAGGGGUGUUAUCUCCACGGAGAGCCCCGAACCUGGGUAAGAUCCGCCGGCGUGCAUGUCUUCGCCUCAUCCCGUUUCCAGGCACCGGCGACGUCUUAUUGGCUCCCACAAUGAUAAGCCAUCCAUUGGCAUAUGUCGCACCAACCACCCGACAUUUGGCGCCCACCGUGGGGCCAGGUGCACCGUCGUCCGGAGACCUGUUCUGGACGGGAACCCUCUUCCUCCCCCGCGAGCGCAGCCAGCCUGCUGUGCCCGAUGGCGUUUGCCUCGACGCGCUGCAAGGCGUCGACGACGCCUGCGCAGCGAGCUGCCUCGCCGAUCUGCUCGGCGAGACUCGCAUCUCCAACGAGCCUGCGUCCGACGCAGGCACCGACUACCCCGAGAACCGCCUCGUCAGCCUCCUCGACCAGCUUCACGUCUCCAGCGAGCCUGCUGCAGACAUGGAGUCGGUCGGCUCCACCGACCCGAUGCUCAUCGACUCCGACACGGCGUCGCUCGACGCCUACCCCUCCGACCUGGUGGUCUUCGACGAUCCACUCCCUCGAGCUGAGAGCGGCAGCAGCGCCGUCACCGAAGUGCUGGUCAUCAGCCACGUCGCCAACUCGGGCGAGGACGCCCACGACGCCCUGCAAGCGGCGAUGCACGACCUCUCUGUUCCCAUCCCGGCCGAUGCCGACGCCGAGACCCUGGAGGCAUGCCGCCUCGCCCUCAUCGCGGAGGGCCAGAAGAUAGCCUCCAUGAGGCGCCUCACUGAGGCCCACCAGAGCGAAGUCGACCGCGCCGCCUUCGGUACGCCGCCGCCUAGCGGCCCGAGCCGAGCCGGCUUCGUCCAGAAGCGCGGCGCGGCCGUCGCCAGCAUGCUGGGGGCAGAUCGCCCCGUCUACGCCACCCAGCUCGAGAAUCUGCGAGCCGCUCAGGCGGCCACAGAAGAGCUCAAUGGGCUGGGAGCCGAUGAGCUCCCCUACAUGACGAGAUGGAUCCAGCAGCUGCUCGACGCGGCCGCAGAACGGCACGAAGCCGGCGCCCGUGCUGAUAGUCAUCCCCCGUGCCGGGAGCACGCCGCGACGUCCCGCUCGCCGACUGCGAGCGGCGCGCGCUAGAAGAAAGACAAGGAGCCGGCUGCCAUCCGCAGCCGGACUCGCAUUACCAUCGAGCGCGACGCGGAAGGCCGCCCUCGAGCGGUUGAACACCAAGGAAACCUGCCUCCUCCCCCGCCUCGAAGAGAAAGACGCCUCACUCCGCCACCUAUCACACACCCGACUCUUGGCGACCGACUCGGCCGCCGAGAAGGAGUCGGCGAGAACGACGCCCGCCACAGGAUCGACCGCCUUGCUCGAUCCUUGGCGUUAGAAGAAGAAGACGAUGUCGGCCCGCCAUGCUUUGGCCCCCGCAUCCGCGACGAGCCCUUCCCCAAAGGGUUCUCGCUCCCCAAAGACACGCCCAAGUACAACGGCUCGGUGAAGCCGGAAGAUUGGCUCAUCGACUACUCCACGGCCGUCAGCAUAGCCAAUGGCAAUCGGCGCGUCGCCGUGAAGUACGUCCCCCUCAUGCUGCAAGGCACUGCGCGCACAUGGCUCAACAUCCUCAAGCCCUACAGCAUCAACAGUUGGCUGGACUUCACCGAAGUCUUCGUCCGCAACUUCACCAGCACCUACAAGCGGCCUCCCAAGCCUCGCCAGCUCUCCCUCUGCGUCCAAGGGCCCAACGAGUCGACCCGCGACUACCUCACGCGAUGGGCCGAGCUCCGCAACUCCUGCGAGGGGGUGCAUGAGGUCCAGGCCAUCGAGUACUUCACCGCCGGGUGCCGAGAGGGCACCCUCCUCAAGCACCGACUCCUCUGCGACGAGCCGGCUACCCUCGAUGAGUUGCUGAUCAUCGCGGACAAGGACGCCACAGCUGACUCCUCAAUGAAGACGGAGCUCCGAGUGGACGCCUCGGGGAAAGUGAUUGCUCCGGCUCCUAAGACGCCGGCUGGCGACCCUAAUCGGCACCCCUACCAGAACGACCACAAGCGCAAGGCCCCCAUGCGGACUUCCUCCGGUCGGCAGGUGGCCAUAGUUGAAGACGAGCAGCCCGAAGAACGGCCCGCUCCCAAGAAGAAGGGUGGAAGGCCGGCUUGGCAGCCGUCUUUCUCCUACGAGCAAGCUCUCGACGCCCCCUACAAAUUCCACAGCGGCGCGAAGCCGUCCAACCACACAACCCGGAAAUGCCACUGGCUCACCCGCAUCACCAAGGGCGAGGGAAAUGCUGCCGCCUCCGCCUCCCGGCCCGCCGCCUCCAGCCCCUCAGCAGCCGGCGGCUCGGCCGGCAGUCGGCGCCAUCCAAGACGAAUUCCCCGAAGAGCACGCCGCCUACGUCGUCUUCACGAGUCAAGCCGACGAUAAGCGCAGCCGACGCCGACAGCACCAAGAAGUGAAUGCAGUCGCCACCAGCGCCCCCGAGUUCAUGCACUGGUCAGAAAAGCCAAUCAGCUGGAGCCAGGCCGACCACCCAGAGGUGAUGCCUUCACCUGGUUCCUAUGCAAUGGUCUUGGACGUCACCCUCGCAACGGAGAGGCGAGCUGCCAGAUUUUCCCGCGUCCUGAUAGACGGCGGAAGCAGUAUCAACAUACUGUACCGCGACACCAUGGAGAAGCUGAACAUCAAAGCCAAGCAGCUCAUGCCGAGCCGCACCGUCUUCCAUGGUAUCGUCCCCGGCCUGUCUUGCUCCCCGAUCGGCAAGAUCAAAAUGGAUGUUCUCUUCGGAGACAAAGACCAUUUCCGCCGAGAAGCAAUAUGGUUCGAGGUAGUGGAUUUGGAGAGCCCCUAUCACGCACUGCUUGGCCGACCUGCUCUGGCCAAGUUCAAGGCUGUGCCCCACUACGCCUACCUGAAGAUGAAGAUGCCGAGCUCGAAGGGGAUCAUCAUGGUAGCCGGCGACUACAAGAAGUCCAUCGAGUGCGCCAUGGCCAGUAGCCGGCUGGCCGAGUCCCUCGUGGUGGCAGAAGAGAAGAAGAUGUUGGAACGGGUUGUGGCCAUGGCCGGCAAGCAGCCGGCCUUGUCCCCCAACCCCAAGGAUUGUGAUGCGCAGGGCUCCUUCCAGCCUGCCAAAGAGACGAAGAAGAUACCUCUGGACCCGGAGAACCCGGAGAGGUUCGCUGUCAUUGGGGCGAACUUGGACAGUAAAUAGGAAGGCGAGCUCGUCGACUUCCUCCGUGAGAAUCGAGACAUCUUUGCAUGGUCCCCAAAGGACAUGCCGGGUGUCCCGAAGGAUUUCGCCGAGCACAAGCUACAUGUCCGAGCUGAUGCGAAGUGAAGCAACCCCUCCGCCGACUGUCAGAAGUGAAGUGAAGAAUUGUGGGAGAAGAGAUAGCCCGGCUCCUUGCCGCCGGCUUUAUCAUGGAAGUGUUCUUUCCAGAGUGGCUUGCCAACCCAGUUUUGGUUCUGAAGAAGAAUAACAAGUGGCGCAUGUGUAUAGACUACACCAGUCUGAACAAGGCCUGCCCAAAGGAUCCGUUCGCUCUUCCGCGGAUUGACCAAGUGAUAGACUCCACAGCCGGAUGCGAGCUGUUAAGUUUUUUGGAUGCGUACUCAGGGUACCAUCAGAUCAAGUUGGACCCAGCGGACCGCCUGAAGACUGCCUUCAUCACACCCUUUGGAGCUUUCUGCUACCUGACUAUGACAUUCGGCUUGAGAAAUGCCGGUGCCACUUUUCAGCGUUGCAUGCAGAAAUGUCUCUUGAAACAACUCGGCAGAAAUGCCCACGUCUACGUAGACGACAUUGUGGUGAAGACAGAGAAGCACGGUACCCUGCUGGAAGACCUGAGAGAAACAUUUGCCAACUUGCGCCGAUUCCAGAUCAAGCUCAACCCCGAGAAGUGCGUGUUCGGAGUGCCAGCCGGCCAGCUGCUAGGCUUCCUGGUCUCCGAACGCGGCAUUGAGUGCAACCCCGUCAAGAUCAAGGCCAUCGAGAGGAUGGAGAUUCCCACCAAGCUAUGAGAUGUGCAGAAGUUCACUGGCUGCUUAGCCUCCCUGAAUCGUUUUAUCAGCCGACUAGGAGAAAAGGCUCUCCCCUUGUACCGACUCAUGAAGAAGUCCACUCACUUCGAGUGGAAUGAUCAAGCCGACCAAGCCUUCCAUGAGUUGAAGAAAAUGCUGACCACUCCGCCUGUCCUGGCAGCGCCGACUGAGAAGGAGCCCAUGCUCCUCUACAUCGCCGCGACUAGCCGAGUCGUCAGUACUGUUGUUGUGGUCCAGCGCCCGGAGGAAGGCCGAGCCCAGCUAGUCCAGAGGCCGGUGUACUAUCUCAGCGAAGUGCUGUCUAGCUCAAAGCAAAACUACCCGCACUACCAGAAGAUGUGCUAUGGGGUGUACUUCGCUGCCAAGAAACUGAAGUCCUACUUCCAAGAGCACCCCAUCACGGUCGUGUGCACUGCCCCGCUUGCCGAGAUCAUAGGCAGCCGGGAUGCAUCCGGCCGGGUGGCCAAAUGGGCCAUUGCAUUGGCGCCCUACACGAUCUUCUAUCAACCCCGCACCGCCAUCAAGUCGCAAGCAUUGGCCGACUUCCUCGUCGACUGGGCCGAGACCCAGUACUUACCGCCGGCUCCCGACUCUACCCAUUGGCGGAUGCACUUUGACGGGUCCAAGAUGCGCACCGGCUUGGGAGCCGGCAUCGUCCUCACCUCUCCCAAAGGCGACAAGCUCAAGUACAUGCUGCAGAUCCAUUUCGCCGCCUCCAACAACGCUAGCCAAAGAGCUUGGCAUACGUCGGAUCCUGUGCUACGGCGACUCAGACUUGGUGGUCCAACAAUCGUCUGUCGACUGGGACGCCAAGGACGCGAACAUGGCGAGCUAUCGAUUCCUCGUCCAGCAGAUCAGCGGAUACUUCGAAGGGUGCGAGUUCCUUCACGUGCCAAGGGCCGACAACGACCAAGGAGAUGCCCUAGCACGGAUCGGCUCCACCCGACAGGCCAUACCAACUGGCGUCUCCCUCCAGCGCCUCCUCAAGCCGUCUCCAGAGUCGGAUUCCAUUUUCGUACCGCCUGCGCCAGAUACAGCCGGAUCCGACUGGAGAAACCCCGCAGGCGGCACGGGGACUUCGACAACUGGCCCGGGGACUGCCGUAGUCGCACCCGGCCCGGGGACUUCAGAACCCGGCUCGGGGACUGCAACGACACAAGAAGCAGUGGCCGACUCACCCAACCCACCCACCCGAGUCAUGGUGGCCACAUUAACAGAAGAAGAAGUCACAGCUCCCUCAUGGGCCCAGCCCAUCCUCAAGUUCCUAGUCAGCAGAAAGCUGCCGGCUGAUGAGAUCUCAGCAAGACUAGUGCAACGACGAGCCGCAGCAUAUACAAUAAUCAACAGAGAGCUUGUGAAACGCAGCGUCACUGGAAUCUUCCAGCGUUGCGUCGAGCCAAAAAAGGAGUGGCAAUCCUCAAAGACAUCCACCAAGGCGAAUGCGGCCACCACGCAGCCUCAAGAUCCCUUGUGGCCAAGGCUUUCCACCAUGGUUUCUUCUGGCCGACCGCCUUGGAGGAUGCUAAAGAAAUAGUCAAGAGCUGCAGAGGAUGCCAAGUUUUUAGUUCCAAGCAACAUCUGCCGGCUUCUGCACUCAAGACCAUUCCCCUCACCUGGCCUUUUGCCGUCUGGGGACUGGACAUGGUGGGCCCCUUCAAGACAGCCCGCGGCGGCCUGACACAUCUACUUGUUGCUGUGGACAAGUUCACAAAGUGGAUUGAAGCAAAGCCAAUCAAGAAGCUCAAUGGGCCGACUGCUGUAACAUUCAUCACCGACAUCACUACUCGGUACGGCGUGCCGCACAGCAUCAUCACCGACAACGGCACGAACUUCGCCAAAGGAGCACUGGCACGUUUCUGCGCGACGCAGGGCAUCCGACUGGACUUAGCGUCCGUUGUCCACCCGCAGUCAAACGGCCAGGUCGAGCGGGAAAAUGGACUCAUCCUCUCCGGCAUCAAGCCCCGACUGGUUGUACCACUGGAGCGAUCGGCCGGCUGCUGGCUCGAAGAGCUGCCGGCUGUCCUCUAGAGUCUGCGCACUACACCCAACAAGUCAACCGGCUUCACUCCGUUUUUCCUCGUGUACGGUGCUGAGGCUGUCAUCCCAACAGACAUCGAGUUCGACUCGCCUCGGAUCACCAUGUACACGGAGGAGGAGGCCAAAGAAGCAAGAGAAGACGGCGUGGACCUACUGGAAGAAGGCCGGCUGUUAGCACUCAGCCAGUCCGCCAUCUACCAGCAAGGGCUGCGCCGCUACUACAACCGCAAGGUCAAGCCAAGAUCCUUCCAAGAAGGCGACCUUGUGCUCCGGUUGAUCCAGCGAACAGCCGGCCAGCACAAGCUCUCGGCCCCUUGGGAAGGCCCCUUCGUCGUCAGCAAGGCACUCGGCAACGACUCCUACUACUUGAUCGAUGCGCAAAAACCAAGAGCACGCAAGAGAGACGACUCUGGCAAGGAGUCGGAGCGGCCAUGGAACGCGAACCUCCUGAGAAGAUUUUACAGUUGAAAGCAGUAUGUACCAUGCUACCCUUUUGAUAUUAAGCACGAACCAACAGGCCCCCCGAACAGUACUCGGGGACUGCCUUUUAUUUAUCUAUGAAUGACGAGUGUCAUAUCUAUGAAUGUAUUAUUACAUUUGAUUUUUUGUCCGGCACCGGGUUCGACUAGUCGGCCCGGGGACUGGCCGCCUUGAGCUGUAUUAAAAGUUCUUCCUGAAGUCAGAAAAGUAGUGCGCCGGCUCCCGAGUCCUCUCUUGUUGAAAGUCGCAGCUCAAAGAACUGACUGUCCAACUAGCAAGAGGCAAGACAGAAAGGACGCCCACACGAAAAAUGGCUAAGGAACAACGAACCUAUAUAGCAAAGAGACGGCCUCCAAACAUGCCCGCCGGCUGCCAGAACAGUCGGCUGGCCGGCUUCCUAAAAAACUUAGCUUUAAUCCAGCAAAGCUAGAGUACUNNNNNNNNNNNNNNNNNNNNNNNNNNNNNNNNNNNNNNNNNNNNNNNNNNNNNNNNNNNNNNNNNNNNNNNNNNNNNNNNNNNNNNNNNNNNNNNNNNNNNNNNNNNNNNNNNNNNNNNNNNNNNNNNNNNNNNNNNNNNNNNNNNNNNNNNNNNNNNNNNNNNNNNNNNNNNNNNNNNNNNNNNNNNNNNNNNNNNNNNNNNNNNNNNNNNNNNNNNNNNNNNNNNNNNNNNNNNNNNNNNNNNNNNNNNNNNNNNNNNNNNNNNAGAGCAACUGUUGGACUGGGGAGGCGGCAACCAAGGGAGGGCGGCCAAGGAAAAAGCAGAAGGAUAAAAAGCAAAGUACAAGGAAAGGCCAAACGCAUAAGUUAUAUAUACACAUAAAGCCCCCAACAGGCUGGCAACAGACAUAAGUUCGAAUACACCCAGUGGGUGGAAUUGUGCAGACUUAACCAAACAUUGUUCCAAAAGUAACUAGACAGGGAAACAAAACACGGCAAACUAAGGCGCGCUGGGGAGGCCGAGCUGGUCGGUGAAGGCGGCCUCGCCGGGUGAAGGAGUGGCCGCCUAGCGGGUCUCGGCUUGACCACCACCUACGGCAGAAGACGCACUCGCGCGCGACGUAGUGCUGGAGGCGCGGUCAGCCUGAGGCUGGCCGGCUGCUCCACCAGCUGGCUCGGCGUCUUCACCCUCCUCCUCCUCUUCUUCACCCUCGUCGCUGGAGUCGAUCUCCUCCGCCGAGUCCUCAUCAUCCGCCGGGUUCAGACCGAACCAUUCCUCUGGCUGGGCGACACCAUUGUCGUCCACCUCGGGGGCGAAGACGCUGGUGUCGGUGUAGUCGGCGAUCGCCGAAGCCCGCCGGAUGAUGGCCGGCCGCGCCCGCUCCAGCUCUGUGUCGGCUUGCUGCCGCCAGGUAGCCAGCUGAUCCAGGCUCAGGCCGGGAUACCAGGCCUUGACAAACUCCAGCGCCCGCCUGGCACCGGAGCGAGCCGCCGAGGCCUUCCAAGCUUCGAAACGGCCGACUGCCACCUCCAGCCAGUCGGCAGUCCGACUGGGGGUGCGAGGAAUCGCUUGGACGGGCCAGAGGGCGGCCAACACCUGCGCCCCGGCACGUUGAAGACGGCGGAGCAGUCGGUGAGCCGGCUGGAUACGGGCCUGGAUCGCCAAGAGCUGCUCCUCCAGCGAACGGCCGGCGGUUGGCGAGAUCUCAAAGCCAGCCUGCCUUCGCGCCUGGCGGCGGGCCUCGAUGGUCUUGUUGGCAGCAGUAGAAUAGCCAGGGAAAUAUUCUGCGCAAGCAAAAGAAAGGAAGGGAGAAAAGAGCACCAAAUCAAAAAAGAGCCAAAGUGGCAGAUGGCAGGAAAAGACGAAGAGGUAGGCGGCUUACCGUCAACCAGAUCUUCGAUCUGGCCAUAGCCAGAGACCAGAGUCUGCCUGGCCUCAGCCCAGCCAGCCGCCUCCGUCUCGUACUCGGCCUGGAGGGCGGCUUCGCGGUCCUGCACCACCUUCAGUGCCGCCUUGUGACUUUCCUCCUGGUCGGCCAACUUCUUGGCCAGGCAGUCGCGUUCCUGCACCAAGGCGGCGAGCUCGGCAUCCUUGGCGCGAAGGGCAGUCUGAGACUCUCCCAGUUGUGCCCUCAGACUGGCGUUGGCCGCUGUAGAGACGGCAGGAAAAGAAGAACAGUAAGAAGAAGUCGUCAAGGAAGAUCCGACCCGAUUGCUCAGCAGUCGGCCCGAAUCUCAGGGACUACACCCAGUGGGUGCGCUGACGCGCCCCCACGGAAGAAAUCAAGAUCAAGAAGAAAUCUAGAUCAAAAAGAAAUCAAGAUCAAGAAGAAGCAAGAUGGGAAUACUAACCCGGAUGGCCGCCCGCGUCGCGAGGAACUUGUCGGUGAACUGCCUCAGCGCCGCAGCUUGGCCCUGGAGCCGGGUCCGGACGUCCUGUGCAGCCACGUUCACCACGGCGGUCCCUCCGCCUGGCGUCCACCCCGAGGUAGCGCUGGCCGCCUCCGCAUCCCGGGCCAACGAGCUGGAGCCCACGGCCGGCUGCGGCUCCGACGCGGCCUUCUAUGGCUCCGACGCGGCCUUCCCCGCGCGCCGGCUCGACGGAAUCCGGACCGCCAUCUCGGCCCUCGCGGCCGGCUCGCCCCCCGCCGACUGUGCAGGCGGCGGAUCAGGCCGGCCGCCUUGAGCCGCCCCAGUUGGCGGGGUCGGCACCGGCGCCCUCUCCAGGAUGAUGACGUCGUCGCUUCCCCCCAGCCCCGGCUGGUCGCUGCUGGCUCCCUCCGGCGAGGGCUCCAUGUCCCCAGGCGCCAUGACGCGCAGCGGGGUGACCAUCAAAACCUCCCCCGCCGCCGCCGCGGCCGCAGCCUCUGCUUGGGCCCUGGCUGCGGCAUCGGCGAGUGCUUUCGCCGCCUCCUCCUCCCGUGCUGCCUGGGCGGCGGCCGCCCUCCGUGCCUCCGCCUCCCGCGCCUCCCGCGCGUUCCUUUCUGUCGCCUCCUGGAGGUCGGCACGGGGGUCCACGCGGCGGGUGGUGCUCCCAGAGCCCCUCGGCGACUCAACAACGGAGGCGGCGGCCGCCCGCUCAAGCGACAGCGGAGCUCUGAUCAUUGAAGAAAAAGACAAGGGCUCAGGAACCACCAGAGAAAAGAAAGAAAGAAAAAAGAGUAUGCGAAAGAAAGUGAACUUACACCGACACGGUCUGCGGUUGCUUCACCGUCUUGCGGAAGCGAGCCGCCUUCGUGGCCGCCUCCUCCCGCCUGGUGGCUGCCGCCCCGCCCCUGGGUUUUUUCGUCCGGCUGCCGAACAAUCCCUAGGCGGCGCGACGCUUUUGGCCUCCGCCCCGAGCAGGCGGUGCAGCGGAGGAACCCGCGCCACGUCCAGAUGCCGGCUGGCGGCGCGGGGCGACUUCGGCCUCAUCGUCGUCCGGCCAGUCGUCGAAGGUGACUCCGAGCCCGGAGCCGCCUCCUUCGCCGCCGGCUUGGCCACCGCCCGGCUCGAUGUUGUCGUCCAUACCGGCCGCCCCCAAGUCGGGGUCCUCCAGAUCGUGUUCGGUCCGGUCGGGGACGAAUUGACGCCCGGCAUCUGACCCGCUGGCCGGCCGAAGAAGAGGACUCUGUCAAAAAACGAACCGACUAAGUUAGAGUCGUCCAAGAGGAACUCGGCAACAAAGCAAGGAAAAAGAAAGAGACAAGGAGAACAUACCGUAGGCGGCGGGUUGGCUCGGCUAUAUGGCUCCUUGCCGAACUGCCACUCUUCGAUGAGUUUGCAGUUCGCAAGGUAGUUCACCAUAUAGGCGACCUCCUCGCGCGGCAUCUCCUUGGUGCACAUUCGGCUCGGAUCGAGCUAGCCGCUCAUCUGACAGAUCAGAUGAGGCCGGCUCUGGAGCGGAAGAACCCGGCGCGUGACGAAUGCGGCCAGAAGGUCGGGCCCCGUCAAGCCCUCCGACUGGGUCAGCUCUCGCACUCGGGCGACGGCGGCGGACCCGGCCGGCGUCAGAGUCACGGCCCGGAAGGACCACUGGGGCCGCCUGCCCGCCGGAGGGCCGGCUACAUAAGCCGGCAGGUUGAUGUAGUCGCCCCGCGGGGCGAUGUUCCGCACGUAGAAAUACGAUUUUUGCCAUUUCUUCACCGAUUGGAUCAGCGUGAUGACGGGGAAGGGGUUGUCGGCGACCGACCUCCGCGACGCGAUGAAGGCGCCAGUCUAAGCCGGCACGCCCUGCAUGCGCGUGCCCAGCUUGGACUGGAAGAACUCCACCCAGAGCUCGAGGGUGGGGAGGACGCCGAGGUAGCCCUCGCACAGGGUGACGAAGGCUGAUAGCAGCACCACCGCAUUUGGGGUGAGGUGGUGCGGCUGGAGCUGAUAGAAGUCGAGCCAGGAGCGGAAGAAGGCGCUCGCCGGCAGGCCGAUGCCGCGCAAGAAAUGCGAGCGGAAGACCACCCGCUCGCCCUCCCGCGGCUCCGGCGUGAUUUCCCUCGCCGGCGCGAGACGGACCUCCACUUUGUCCGCGCCGGGCAGCCGCCGCGUGUUGCGGAGGAACUCGACGUGGUCUUCGUGCACGUUGGAGCCAUCCCAAUCCCCGCCAUACUGCUCCGUGGCGGGAGGCAUGGCAAAACUAGCGCGGCGGCGGAGGAACGUGCGGUGGAAGAGCGCGGCGGCGAGGCGCUGUUGCAAGAAACGGCGAGCGAAGAAGAUGGUGGAAGUAGGAGGAGCGUGCGAGGGCCUGCCGCCCUCCAGCUCCCCCUACUUAUAGCUUCGCGAGGCGAGGCCGAAGAGGCCGGACGUGGGGGGAGACGUGGGAUUAACUGCACCCAUUCCACCCACGCCCCGCGAUUAUUGCGCCCUAAAGGCGAGCCGAAACUGCCGCAAGGAGACGUGCGGGCGGUUUCGGGAUACAGAGAAUCCGCGCCUGGGCCCGGGCGCGGACGUGGCGGGCCCCCGCCCUGCGGCGACGUCCCGUCACGCGCGUGGGCUGGCAGGCUUUCUGGCCGAGGGAAGCCACGUGGUUCGCAGACGGCAAGUGGCUGGCCCGCGGCCCGGGGCACACGCUAGCGAGCUCCCGCCCUCCGACUUCGGAGUUUUCGACCAAGGCGGCACGCCUAACUAAAGCCGGCUCCCAGCUGCCGACUUGUCAUGAUAGGAAGCUGAUCGAGCUUCUCAACCCCUACUCCACCUCGAAGCCCAAUCAGCUUCGGAGACUACUGUCGGAGUAAAUAGCCACGGGUAGCCUAACCGACUGCCCCUGGUUCUUCUGAAAAAAUUAUCAGGCCUUCGGGCCUCCAGGCCCUCCGAGCAUCGGGCCGCCUUCCCUGGCCGGCUACUCCUGAAGCCGACUUCCGGAAGGCGACCCAGCCUCAGCAACCACUCCCCAAGACAACUACCGGGCGGCCGACUCCAAGAAGUCGGCCAAGAAGAGCGCCGACUCCAAGGAGCCGGCCGAGACCACAACCACCCAAGCUACACCCACAUAACGGUGACAAGACGAGGUGUGGCCAUAGUGCGGCCCACUACCCCCGAGGCCCGAGGCAGGCGUGGCCACAGGAGGCCGUACGGGACGAUUGUCUCCUGUGCGGCUCGGCACUGUAGCCAUGCCAGCCUCAACGUCAUCCAAGACCGACUCCUGUACGGCCCGCAGGCGCCGGGCCCCUUCCGCCAGAGAGAGGCGCGGAGGCAGCCCGGCCUCCCCCAGUCGGCCGAGGGUGUAGCCGGCCCCCAGAAGCCGGCUACCCCCUUCCUCGAAGCAGGAGCCCCAUUAAGGAGACAAGACGGGGUAAGGCUACAGUGAGAGCCCCCGAGGCGGCCCACUGUAGCCACGCUUACCUCGACGAAGCCCUCGUCAUCAGAGGCGAGGCUACAGUAAGCAGCCGCCGACAAGACCCUAGGCGGUGGGGCCGGCCUGUCGACCAAGAAGCCGGCAGCCGGCGGGACCCACCAGCCAGCGGGACCCAACAGCCGGCGGAGAAGCCGGCAAGUGUAGACACUGAUGGCUGGGACCAGUGCCCAGCCGGAUUACCAUUGUACCCCCGGAGGGUAGGCCUAUAUAAACCCCCCGGAGCACCCAUGCAAAGGGUUGGCUUCCAAGCAUAGCACACACACCAUAUAUAGAGAGAAGCAAGAGCUAGCCUUGUUCUUCUUCUCCCUUGAUCCCAACAGCUCUAGGAGCGAUUGUAGCUACCUUUCCUCGAUCUAGUGAUCAUGCGGAGACCCCGCAGAGCAGGACUAGGGGUGUUAUCUCCUCGGAGAGCCCCGAACCUGGGUAAGAUCCGCCGGCGUGCAUGUCUUCGCCUCAUCCCGUUUCCAGGCACCGGCGACGUCUUAUUGGCUCCCACAAUGAUAAGCCAUCCAUUGGCAUAUGUCGCACCAACCACCCGACAGUGGGAGUUGGGGUGGGGGUGGGGGUGGGGGUGGCGGAGGAACACAGGCGGUGGGGGCCGGUGGUCCGGCCGGCGGCCCGUGCGGUGUUCUGUAUGGGAAGAAGGGUUAGGAGACAUAGGAUCUUCAUCCAACCGCCUGAAAUGGUCGAGAGAUAGCUGGGAGUUGCAUUCUUAAUGCGCUCUGGUUCAUCAUGUGUGGGCACUGCACAACCAACAUUUUAUUAUCCAAAAUCUGCUUGCUCUUCUUUACCAUGUUCCUCUUCCAUUCUUCUUUAAUAUGUACUCUCUCCGUUCCUAAAUACAAGUCUUUGUAUAGAUUCCACCAUGGACUACAUAUGGAGCAAAAUGAGUGAAUCUACACUCUAAAAUGUAUCUGGAUACAUCUGUAUGUGAUCCAUAGUGGAAAUCUCUACCAAGACUUAUAUUUUGGAACGGAGGGAGUAUGAUAAUAGUACAGUAUGUUCCUUGUACUGAAGAUGAGCAGGGACAUUUGCAGUGUAGAGGUCUAUAUGGUCGGUUGUGAUGGACACUUUGAGCCUCUUUGAUUCGUAGGAUCUUGUAAACAUAGGAAUAGGAUUUGUAGUGGCCUGCCCACUUGAAUCCUAUAAGAAUAGCAAGGAAAUGCGGGGAGCUGUGUCGCCUUUGAGAGUUACACUGAUAUUAACAGUACCGCACCUUCACUUGAAGAGAGCUGGUAUCCGAAGCCUUUCUAGCCGUACCAGCAAUACUAGCACAUAUAUUCCAGCAAGUUCCACUUUGCUGAUUUUACUCUGAUGCUUAAGGUUUUCCCGUUAUAUCUACACUAUGAUCUGUGUAGCUGCUUUGUGUCGCACUAGCAGCAGUCCACUCUUGAAGCUAAACACUACAAUGACUUACAAAAUUGGCACCAAGGCAUUGAGUGCCAUUCUGGAUGCAAUGAAACUCAUACGCUCCCCACCUGUUGAUUCUUGUUCAGAAUAUGAUCCUAAUGACUAUUCUAACCUCGAGGAGUCAAAGGCAGAUGGCAUGUCAUGUUCACCCAUCAAGGUGCCUGUUCUAAUUUGGCAAUGUUUUAUUGAUUGCGGGUAUCUUGCAUAUGUUGCCUUGCAUUUCUUCUACUUUGUUGCACCGCCAUCUGCUUAGUUUACUCAUCAUAUAUGUCGAGAUGCCAUGCCCAUCCAUUAUCAAUACAUAUUCCAUCUAUCAUCAUACCAUGUUUUUUCACUCAAAUGUUGUUCUUGUGCAUCAGACAUCAAAAAGGAAGAGGGUGAUUGCCGAACCUGAAGGAGCACCAGCAAAGUCCUUGAAAAACGUGGUGGUGCUGGAGAAAUCAGACAGCACCCCACUUAUAUUGGUUGUACAACCAGUGACACAAAACGUAGGACCGACUCCAGCAGACUGUACCCAUACUUCACUGGCCACACCACUAGCCCCACCACACAGGACCUGCACUCCAGCAAAAGGUAUACCGAUUUCAUUUGCCAUAGCACCAGCUGUACCACAGAAAAAUCCCACUCCAGCAAAAAGUACAGCAAGUCCACCGGCCGAAGACCUAUCCCAACUGCAGAGACGGCCAAUUCCUGCAGAUUGGAACCCCAUUCCAUUUAUUCCCAGUUUAAAAGACAAUGCUUUCAAUGUUGUUAGGGACUACGUGCAUAUAUUCCCAUCAUGGGAAGAUUAUUGUGAAGACAAACACCAUUUUCACAUCUUCCUGUCCAACUUACGUGUAAGUGCUAUUAUUCAUGGUUAUUAUUUUCUUGUUUUCUGCUGAUUGAACACAUCAAUGAUUUACAUUACAUUGUUGUAACUAGGCGAGGGUCAAUCUGGAUAGUCAUGACGAGCAAAGCUUGCUUGUGCUUUUCAAGGAAGCAUUGCAGCAGUAUCGGUGUUACCUGAGGAAAUCACACUUUGAUGGCAAGUCUAUAAACGAAUUUCCGGUGAAGUCUCCUAUGCUAAAUUUAGAAGACAUUGAAUGGAAAAACCUUGUUAUGCACUGGUCUCGUUCCCAGGAUGAGGUACUGUCUAUGAAAUCACAUGACAAUUUGAACUUCUACUUUUCCGCAUGUGCCUUACGGAUCUUUUUUGCAGGAAAUCUGCUCGAAGAAGAAUUCCGGUUUGACAAGAACGAUAGGAUAUCGCAAAUAUGUUGCCCGCUGCUUUGCUCUUGUUAGUACCUGUUGUCCUGUAUCACUGUACUUGCAUACAUACCUGGUUCAUUAUGUGACAGCAGUAUGCAUGAUAGCUUGCUUAUCAAUUGUUUGCUCCAAAUUAUCUGAUCUGUAUGAAUGGUUACAUUAGUGUAGAAUAUAUCCAAUGCCAAUGUUUUUUUUAGCUCUACAUUGUUCUUGUAAGUACAUGCUGUCCUUUAUCAGUGUACUUAUAAUGACAGGUAGUUAUUCAUGUACCAUCACUCUGCAGCUUAUUUUCCUUUGCCCUCCAUUUUCUACACAUCAGAUCUAUAUUUACUCUUACCAUAAGGUUGGUACUGAAGAAGUUUAGCUGUGCAUUGCUCUUGGCUGUACCUUUUGCCUGUAUCGUUGCACUUACAUUUAUAGCUACUUGGUUAUGUAGCAUCACUCUUCAUCUUAUCUUAAAUAUUCUCCAUUUUUUCGUAUAUUAUCACAUCUAUAUUUACUCUUAACAAAAUGUAGAAUAAAGGCAAUGCUUUUGAAGAAGAUUCUGUGGUAAACUUCUUGAAUUGCCCCCCCCCCAUCAGCAUGGACAAGGCCUUUAUAGAGCCUGUCUUCACCAAUAAUGUAAGUUUGUCCAUCUCAAGCCUUCAAACUUUGUUGUAUAUAUUUGGUUAGGCAUGACUGCAACAGCUAUUUAUUUUUGGUGUUUGCAUCAAAUUGCUUGUUUAAAGUUUAUUAUGUAGUUCAUAAACAAAAGUUUGUCCUUUCUCAAUUUAAGUUUUCAGUUGUACAACCAAGUUCCUUCUUCAUACUAUGUAAAUUAAACUAUACAGAGCAAGUGAUCUUCUUUUGCACUGCAUGUAUGCUUCUGUUCUUCAUCCGUAAUCCAGUGGUGUGGUGAACCUACCCACUACAGCACAAUGUCAUAUUCUGCAAUGUCUUAACUAUGAACAAUGUCAUAUCAUUCUACUAUUAUUUAAACCGUCUCUUUAUUUGCCAAUCUGAAAUGGUAUAAAUUGACAGCACACUAACCAUUGAUACUUAUGAGUUCUUGAUCUGUAAUCCAGUGGUGUCGUGAAGCUGCCAACUCCUUCACAAUGUCAUUUCCUGCCAUGUCUUGACCUGAACAAUACCAUAUUGUGUUAAUGCAAUUUUAAACUGUGUCACCUUAUUCGUCAGUAAGAAAUGUGAUGAAUUGUCAGCACUGAUACUUUUAUGUGCAAAACCUGUCAUAUGUUUGCUUGUUUAUCUUUCAGAGUGAGGAAGAUAUAAGUGUUGAACAAGUGCAGUCUCAUCAUCUUGCUCAGCUGCUUGCGCUGCAGCUCCCCAGCAGGGCUAACCUUUCUUGAACUCUAUUGAAGUGCUGUCGGUUUUGUAUAUUAUUUUGUCAGCGUGUUUAUUUGCACUGGUGGCGAUCUUUGAUGCCCAGUGUAUGUAAUCUGUUGUCUGCUUGUGCUUUAUUAUCAUAGUGGCGAACUUUGAUGCCCAGUGGAUGUAAUAUGUCGUAAUUUCUUUAUUGUAUAGUCUAGGUUUUUUCUUAUUCACGAUGCUGCAAUUAUUUUACUGUAUAUAUAUAUCCUGUCUUCGCAGUAAACCGGCCAAACCGUAAAAUUACGGUACAUAAUCGGGCCAUCAUGCAAUCACGAUGUAGGUUGGGCCUGAAACGUGCCAAACAGCUCACGGGCCGGCAGCAGCCCGAAAUGAACCCCGGCCCAUGAUUGUGCGAAUCAAAUCACGGGCUUUUAACAGGCCAAAAUUGUCUCGGUCCUUGUUUGGCCCAAUCAGAUAUCGGCUGCGAGCAGGCCGGAUGCAAACCGGGCCGUAGUUAGGCCCAACUAUAUGAAGGGAUUUUAACAGGCCGAAAUUAAUAUAGGGCCGAAAUGUUAAACAGGCCUUUAACAGGUCAAAACUAAUAUUAGGCCAAAUUACUAAGUGGGCCUUUAGCAAGUGGGCCCAAAAGCAUAGUGUCCAGUUGACGGGCCGAAUCUGAUAUGGGCCAUAAUUGAGCCCAAAGCCUCUUAAAGGGCCGAACCUGAUCUGGGCCGUAAUUUGGCCCAGAACGUGGUAGGCUUUUAACGGGCUGGAUCUCAUAUGGGCCACUAUUAGGCCCGGAGCGUGGCAGGCCAUUAAUGGACCGGAUCAAAUAUGGGCCGGCAUUUGGCCCAAAACAUGGCAGCAAGUUAAUGGGCCGGCCUACUAGGGUCCUCAAAAUCUUGUGGGCCUACAGCUGGGCCGGCCCAUUAAUGUCGGUGAAAUUUCAUGGGCCUUUAGCUGGGCCGGCCCAUUAUGAUCCACAAGAAUCUUGUGGGCCUUUACCUGGGCCAGCCAAUUAUGGCACACAAAAAUCUUGUGGGCCUUUACCUGGGCUGGCCCAUUAUGGCCCGCAAAAUCUUGUGGGCCUUUAGCUGGGCCAGCCCAUUAUGGUCCGCAAAAUCUCGUGGGCCUUUAGCUGGGUCGGCCCAUUAUGGUCCGCAAAAUCUUGUGGGCCUUCAGUUGGGUCGGCCCAUUUAAACUUGAUGGGCCGGUCCACGUGUCAACAUAUCAUAGGCGCGUCUCGCCCAUUGGAUGAGUGACACCUGUGCCAACGCGGACCUGACACGUGUCUCCUCCAGCCAAUGAUGAUUUUCCAUGUGGAAAAUCCCCAUUGGUCGGGGCUGUUAACGGGUUAUCGGAUCCAAAACCCGACCCGAUAGCUUAACGGCGUUCCGUUAUGGUGGAUGCCACGUGUCGGUCACCCUUGACGAAAGCACUUCUGUGACGCGCGAUUUAUCGUCAUGGAAGUGGACACUUCUGUGAUGAUAAUUUUGGUAAUGUCAUGGAACACUUCUACGACAGCACAGGUAUGACUAUCUUGAUUCUGUCAUAAAUUUGUCAUGGAUGUACAUGCAUGACAAAAAACGUGACCUACUGUGACAAACACGUAUCAUCACAGAAGUGUAUUUUUUUGUAGUGUUUAUUGGCCUACUCUCUUCAAGGAUGCCCGUAAGUUUGUCCUAUCUUGUGAUGAAUGUCAAAGAAUUGGUAACAUUAGUAGACGUCAAGAAAUGCCUAUGAACUAUUCACUUGUUAUUGAACCAUUUGAUGUUUGGGGCUUUGAUUAUAUGGGACCUUUUCCUGCCUCCAAUGGAUAUACACAUAUUUUAGUUGUUGUUGAUUACGUUACUAAGUGGGUAGAAGCUAUUCCAACUAGUAGUGCUGAUCAUAACACUUCUAUUAAAAUGCUUAAAGAAGUUAUUUUUCCGAGGUUUGGAGUCCCUAGAUAUCUAAUGACUGAUGGUGGUUCACAUUUUAUUCAUGGUGCUUUUCGUAAAAUGCUUGCUAAGUAUGAUGUUAAUCAUAGAAUUGCAUCUCCUUAUCACCCACAGUCUAGUGGUCAAGUAGAAUUGAGUAAUAGAGAACUCAAAUUAAUUUUGCAAAAGACUGUUAAUAGAUCUAGAAAGAAUUGGUCCAAGAAACUGGAUGAUGCAUUAUGGGCCUAUAGAACUGCAUAUAAAAAUCCUAUGGGUAUGUCUCCGUAUAAAAUGGUUUAUGGAAAAGCAUGUCACUUACCUCUCGAACUAGAACAUAAGGCAUAUUGGGCUAUUAAAGAGCUCAAUUAUGAUUUCAAACUUGCCGGUGAGAAGAGGUUAUUUGAUAUUAGCUCACUUGAUGAAUGGAGAACCCAAGCUUAUGAAAAUGCCAUGUUGUUUAAAGAAACAGUUAAAAGAUGGCAUGACAAAAGAAUACAAAAGAAUACAAAAGCAUGAGUUUAAUGUAGGUGAUUAUGUGUUGCUAUACAACUCUCGUUUAAGAUUUUUUGCAGGAAAACUUCUCUCUAAAUGGGAAGGCCCUUACGUUAUCGAGGAGGUCUAUCGUUCCGGUGCCAUAAAAAUCAACAACUUCGAAGGCACAAAUCCGAAGGUGGUGAACGGUCAAAGAAUUAAACAUUAUAUCUCAGGUAAUCCUAUAAAUGUUGAAACCAAUGUUAUUGAAACUGUAACCCCGGAGGAAUACAUAAGAGACAUUUUCCGGAACGUUUCAGACUCUGAAAAGGAAUAGGUAUGUGGUACGGUAAGUAAACCGACUCCAAAACAGUUCUAAUGGCAAUAUUUCUCCGUUUUGGAAUAUUUAGAAAAAUAGAAAAAUAAGAAGCAGUCCGGGAAGGACACGAGGCCUCCACGAGGGUGGAGGGCGCGCCCUACCCUACUGAGCGCGCCCCCCUACCUCGUGGGCACCUCGUGUGCUCUUCGGAGUCCGUUUUCUUGCACGAUACGUAUUUUGGUCGGUAAAAAUUCAUUAUAUAUUCUCCCGAAGGUUUUGACCAGUGUAUCACGCAAAUAUUCUCUGUUCUCGUUUCGAGCUGUUGCUGUUGCAGAUUAGAGCAAGAUGUCUUCUCAAGAGUCAGUCGGGGAGAGCCGGGUGUCUCAUCCGGCAUCGAGACCAAGAACAAACAGCGACGCUGACCACUUUGGGCCAGCAACGGAGGAAGAGAUGGAGGCUGAUUUGAUGAGGAUAUAUGCCAUGGAGGAUCAAGAAGUCACUUCUCGCUUCCGAGCUGGGUUCACGAUGGGGGAACUACAAAGCUCAGCCAUUCCAAACUCGGUUAUCCCUUCCAAUGUUAGAUUUCUUUCUUACGAAAAUAUGAAAAAGAGUGUCACUUGUUCUCCCGGAGCUAUGCAACACCCUUGGGUGCAAGGAGCUUUAGCCGUUACAGGAAAGCUUCGUAAGGAGAUAAUGGAUCUCAAGCAGCAACUCAAUAAGCUCGAGGAAGAGAAUCAUAUCCUGAGGGGCAUUAUCGCCAAGAAUAUCACAUCACCAUCCCCGAAGAAGGAGACAUAAUCACAUGGGUAUGGGCACUCCCCUUGGCAACUGCCAAGCUUGGGGGAGAUGCCCCGGUAUCAUAUCACAACCACACUUCUAUCUUUACCGUUUUUCUUAGUUCGAUCCUAUUUAGUAGUAUCUUGAUCUAGUAGAAUAAAGUUUAUGGCAUGAUCUAGUUUUGAGUUUUGCUUUAUGAUCCCUCUAUGUAAUCGAGUCCGUGAGUUAUAUAUAAUAAAAACUAGUGUUGAGUCAAGGGCUUGAUUAUUUUGCCAUGAUCUUGGGUGAAUAAAAGAAAAAAAAGGGAAAAGAAUAAAAAGAGAUCAUAUUGGUCUUAUUGAGAGUAAUGACUUCACAUAGAAAGAGUAUGAUGAUUAAAAAUUGUUGGGAGUUGGCAAACAUAGCUUUGGUCAUCGUUGCAAUUAAUAGGAAGUAAUAAAGAAAGAGAGAUUUCACAUAUAAAUAUACUAUCUUGGACAUCUUUUAUGAUUGGGAGCACUCAUUAAAAUAUGACAUGCUAAAGAGUUGAUGUUGGACAAGGAAGACAACGUAAUGGGUUAUGUUUUCUUAUAUCUGAGAUAAAGUAUAUUGUCAUGGAUCAUCCAACAUGUUGAGCUUGCCUUUCCCCCUCAUGCUAGCCAAAUUCUUUGCACCAAGUAGAGAUACUACUUGUGCUUCCAAAAACCUUUAAACCAGUUUUGCCAUGAGAGUCCACCAUAUCUACCUAUGGAUUGAGUAAGAUCCUUCAAGUAAGUUGUCAUCGGUGCAAGCAAUAAAAAUUGCUCUCUAAAUAUGUAUGAUUGAUUGGUGUGGAGGAAAUAAGCUUUAUACAAUCUUGUGAUGUGGAAGAAAUAAAAGCGACGGACUGCAUAAUAAAGGUUCAUAUCACAAGUGGCAAUAUAAAGUGACGUUCUUUCGCAUUAAGAUUUUGUGCAUCCAACCCUGAAAGCGCAUGGCAACCUCUGCUUCCCUCUGCGAAGGGCCUAUCUUUUAUUAUUACCUUCUACCUUAUGCAAGAGUCAUGGUGAUCUUCACCUUUCCUUUUUAUAUUUUAUCCUUUGGCAAGCACAGUGUGUUGGAAAGAUCAUGAUAUAUAUAUAUAUCUAAUUGGAUGUAAGUUAGCAUGAACUAUUAUUGUUGACAUUACCCUUGAGGUAAAAGGUUAGGAGGCGAAACUAUAAGCCCCUAUCUUUCUCUGUGUCCGAUUAAAACUCCGUAACCACAAGUAUUGCGUGAGUGUUAGCAAUUAUGAAAGACUAAAUGAUAGUUGAGUAUGUGGACUUGCUAGAAAGCUCUGACAUAGACUCUUUCUGAUGUUAUGAUAAAUUGCAAUUGCUUCAAUGACUGAGAUUAUAGUUUGUUGAUUCUCAAUAAAGUUGCUGAUUCAUACUUUGCAUUCUGAAUAGAUUAUUACUUGAGAAUAAGAAAUCAUAUGACAAUAUCCAUAUAGAUAGUUGAGUAUGUCCGUAUUUUAUUUUUAUCGACACCUCUACCUCUAAACAUGUGGACAUAUUUAUCGCUAUCGGCUUCCGCUUGAGGACAAGCGAGGUCUAAGCUUGGGGGAGUUGAUACGUCCAUUUUGCAUCAUGCUUUAUAUCAAUAUUUAUUGCAUUAUGGGCUGUUAUUACACAUUAUGUCACAAUACUUAUGCCUAUUCUCUCUUAUUUUACAAGGUUUACAUAAGGAGGGAGAAUGCCGGCAGCUGGAAUUAUUGUCAAGCUAGUUUUCAUCACGUCCCCAUGUGUCCUCGGGAGCGUUUUCCUUUAUAUAAGACUUUGUCCAGGCUUGUCCUUUGCUACAAAAAGGAUUGGGCCACCUUGCUGCACUUUAUUUACUUUUGUUACUUGUUGCUCGUUACAAAUUAUCCUAUCACAAAACUAUCUAUUACCUAUUAUUUCAGUGCUUGCAGAGAAUACCUUGCUGAAAACCGCUUAUCAUUUCCUUCUGCUCCUCGUUGGGUUCGACACUCUUACUUAUUGAAAGGACUAUGAUAGAUCCCCUAUACUUGUGGGUCAUCAAUGCACAGGGGUUUUCCCCCAUUUAUUGACGAUCAAGCUUGGUGUGUGCUGGUACCACUCAUCAAGAAAUACCUUGAUACUCAUUUUAAAAAAUCUGAUGACCAUGUUUAUCUUGGUACUCAUACUAAAAUGGUUGUAUGCAUCACUAGUUGGUGUAGAAGCCGGGAAGUGAAAAUCUCUCCCAUUUUUAAAGAGCGAAAAGAUCCACGACACCCGCGUCGCCAACCCUAGGCGACACGGGAAGAUCACGCCGCCGACCCUCGGCCUCCUCUCCUAUAUCCCUCCCUCCCGCCGCCGAAGAUCACGCCAGGCAAAGCCUGUGCUGUGGGAUAUGACGGCGGCGGCGAACCCCUCUAGCGGCAGAGACACACAUCACGACGGUGAUCCAGCGGCAAGGAGCAGCGGGAUCUCGACGGUGUGAGUGGCGGCGGUGACAGCAGAGGCGCGGUCACCUCGCCCCGGAUGCGCUCCUGUGGUGGCGGCUGGGUUCGCGGAUCUCGCCCAACCUAGAUGGGCUUGAGCGGGCCGACAGCGACGGGCUACCGCAGUGGGCCUGACCACACCGGCUUCUUAGGCACCGUACUGGUGCCAUGGCCGGUCAUACGGCGGUGGCUCCACCCUUUUCGCCUAGUCCCCAUCAGAGAAGGCGGCGAUCAGUGCACAAGACACUUGAUGGAGGUUCUUCGAACUAAUCUGGGUGAAAACCUGCUCUCGGCCAGCUGCGAAGGCCAGCGAUGGCGGCGCUCUUCGGUAUCGUUCCCUUCUUGAAGGCAUCACCGUUGAGAAGUACCAGACCACUAUCUUCUACCUCUGGGGAAACCGUAGAUCACUAGAUCGGAUGAUGGCGGCGCUCUUGUGUCGUUCCCCCUUGGGACAUCAUUCUUGGAGGUGUACACGGACUCGGGGGACCUGUGGGCGACAUGUUUGGUGGAGUGGUGUUUCAUCCUACACACUGAUGGCGGCAGAUCUCAGCGGCGUGGCGCGGUGGAGACUCGGCGUCCGACGUGCGGUGAUGGACUCGCGCAGGAGGACGACGUUGUCUGGUGUCGUGGUGGCGUUGAUGGCUGAGAGGCCUAACAAGGCCGAUGCGCCAGUAUCUGCUCUGAAGACGGGCCGAUGGAAGACGAUGGUGGCGGCCCUUGCAACGUGCGCAUAUGGUGCCCACUGAGAGUGCGUCGGACCGGUGUGUGACCCAGUACCGGCAUUGUGGAUUGGAUGGGGUACCCCGCUUUAGAUGUUAGGCUUUAAUGCGAUGUCUUUUAGGUAUUAGGCUCGGACAUUCGGCACCCCUUAAUCAAGGGGAUAGGAGUAGCGACAGGUAUUGCCAAGAUGGAGGCUUCAUACUUACUGAUAUAUUACUUUGUAAAGUCCUCGUGAAUAAUUAAUAAAAUGGAUGCAUGCAUCGUCCAGAUGCAAAGGCCGGGGGUAUAUCCUCCUUUUCUAAAAAAAAGUAUGAAUGAAAAUCGUUCGGUUUGUUUAAAUACCCGUCAAAUUUGUUUAUUUCUGUUAAAUUCCGUUCGAAAUGCCUCACAUUUGCGGCUACGGCUUGACGUCCNNNNNNNNNNNNNNNNNNNNNNNNNNNNNNNNNNNNNNNNNNNNNNNNNNNNNNNNNNNNNNNNNNNNNNNNNNNNNNNNNNNNNNNNNNNNNNNNNNNNNNNNNNNNNNNNNNNNNNNNNNNNNNNNNNNNNNNNNNNNNNNNNNNNNNNNNNNNNNNNNNNNNNNNNNNNNNNNNNNNNNNNNNNNNNNNNNACGGAUACGGUGUUCGGUUUGGGGUUAGCGUUGGAGAUGCCCUAAGAUGGUGGAGGUGAACUUCUUAGGUAUAGGUAUAUAGGAUACAAAGAAACUCUCCUGUCAGGUUUCAAAAUACAGUAUGACCUCUAUUUGAGAUGGCAUAUGUGAUUAGCAAUCUAACCUAGAGAGAGAGAUGAGCAGGAAUCACCUAUCCAUUCUCACAUGAUUAGAAAUCGGCGAGCAAGUAGUGGAGGGCAGCACCACAUGUAGCAGAUGCUGCGGAGCGGUCAGACAGAGAAAGGGCCCAAGCUCCCAGCGAGCUCCUCGGCCUUGGCGAAGAGGAACAAUUCACGUGGGGCCCACGAUGGCAGGCAGGUCCCGCGUACGCUUCAAUGCUGAGGGGGCCAGCGGCGGCGCCGGCGCACCGGUCCAGCGGGCUCCAGCAGCAAGCAGCGGUUAACGAAGAAGGGCCCAGGCGUACUGUUUCCGGGCACAGGAGCCGUGGCCUCCUCCGUUGAUGAGUGACCAGUUCCCGUUUUAUUUGUUGUAGCUUGUAACCGUCGCAUCUAAUGGCACCGGACAAACCCUACGCGCCACCCACCUGCUCCAGCCCCAUCUUGGUGCAAGUACGCACGUUAGCGGUAGGUUUGCCAUUUCCGGCGCUGCGACCGGCCGGUAGUCGGUAGAUCGGCGGUACGUACUACGUCGAGCGGUCGCCGUCGCCGGUCGUUUUUGGGUGGUGCCCGCGCCGCAGAGGUGGCCGGCUUAGAUCUGAUCGGCCAUGCAUGCAUGCAUUAUCGUGUUGUGCAUCCAGCUUGCAUGCGUGCCGGCCGGUGGGGGCUCGCCCGGCUCGAUCAAUCAUGCAGAAUAAUGCAUGCAGCUGGAGAGACGGCGACGGGUCCGUGGAGUCGCUAGCCGAUUGGAGUGGCAGUUCCCAUCGGUUUGAAUCAGUCGAUAAUCAAUCAACCGGUCGUUGGCAGCAUGCAGGCAGGUGCAGCAGAGCGGAUGUCCUCCAACGCGACAUGUCUUGUUCUCUUCCCCUUCUCCACUCGAUCUACCGGCACCCCGACCCAGACCCUCCCGGGUGUGUAUUAUUGGACUAUUGGAUCACCUGCGAGCACAUGUAGCCGAAAGUCGUAAUGUUUUUUUUUUUUUGCGGGUNNNNNNNNNNNNNNNNNNNNNNNNNNNNNNNNNNNNNNNNNNNNNNNNNNNNNNNNNNNNNNNNNNNNNNNNNNNNNNNNNNNNNNNNNNNNNNNNNNNNNNNNNNNNNNNNNNNNNNNNNNNNNNNNNNNNNNNNNNNNNNNNNNNNNNNNNNNNNNNNNNNNNNNNNNNNNNNNNNNNNNNNNNNNNNNNNNNNNNNNNNNNNNNNNNNNNNNNNNNNNNNNNNNNNNNNNNNNNNNNNNNNNNNNNNNNNNNNNNNNNNNNNNNNNNNNNNNNNNNNNNNNNNNNNNNNNNNNNNNNNNNNNNNNNNNNNNNNNNNNNNNNNNNNNNNNNNNNNNUGAGUUUUUUUUAUUGCAUCGUCGAUUCUCCCGUGCGCGUAACCCCGAAGACAAGCCGGAGCUGGCGGAGGCUUGACUGCUCGUGUGUGUGUGGGGUGGGGGUGCGGGGAGGUCGCUUGUGGCGGAGAGAUGGGGCCGGCGGGAGGGCAUGUAAUAGUGUCCUAACCCGGGGGUCUCUCACCAAGUCGGUUCCCGGCCUGAUGGGAUGGGCUGAGGACUUUUGGGUCGGUUCCGUCCUGGACCACGUUGGGCGGCCCAUGGCAUUUAAUUAUAGAAAAGACUUGUUGUACAAGACAGGGAUACCAGAGCCAAGGAGACUCUACCACCAUCAACAUAGACGACCAGGAUCUGUAACUCUGGGACCCCCUUUAUGUUAUACUAGCAAAAGAGCUCAUGUGUUGUAACGGGAGAAGAAAAUACCGCACUACCCUACCCCAGUAACCAUGACUAAGACCCACAAUAGGUCUUGCCGAGGCGUCUCUCUCUCUCUCGGCAUAAGAUGAGAAGUCUGGUUUUUUUCAUGCAAAAUUUUGUCGAGGUGUACAUGCACGAUUAUCGACGGUUUCUUUGGUCUCCAAUUUGGCUUUGAUGAGAUGUUCAUUGCAAUCCAGGUCGGUACGAAAGAAAGAUGAAUCAUGUGCUAUUGAUUAAGGUUGCACCUUAAAUAACAUUUUAAAAAUAUUUAACAAGUAAGAUAACAUCAUAUUCAUAUUCUACAUAUUUUUUAAUCAAGUUCAUAUAUAACAUGUUAAAAUUGGAGUUAGGGUUUAAAAGAUAUGGGUAUUUAAAAAAAAACUAUUUGUUCUAGAUGGACUGUGGGUUAAUUAUAGAAACAGCAGGUGUUUCCGCUAACGCAAAAACGAUUCAUUUUUUGUCACUUAAUGGUGGUGUGCAGGUUAUUUACCAGAAAAGGGAGGGGGGUUUCUAUAAAACAGUAAAAAAUGGUUCGUUUUCUCACUUAAAUGUGGAUGGCGGGUUAAUUACCUAAAAACAGAGGUGGUUUUCUGUAAAAAAAUGUUGACGAUGAACGGACAGAAGCAAUAGUACUUUAUUAGUAGGUAUAGAUAAGCCAGGGGCGGGCUCGUCGUUAGAACACAAUACGAUCUUCGGUUCUAUACUUGUACUUUGUACACCUCUAUCACAAUGCACGUGUGUAUAGGAGUAGGGUAUUAUGUCGAUCAGUUGCUAGCAGCCCAGCACUAAGUCCCGGGCCAACUUCAGCACUACAGUGCAGAACAGUACUAAACAGUGAUAUUUUAUCUAUAGUCAACGAAGAAACCUACUGCCAUGGCUCGCGACAACGCCCCUUUUGCUCGGAGCCUAACUACGCCACUGACCUCGGUCAUUAGAGUCUGAAUCUGGGUAAAUUCUGCAUCACGUUUCCCCUCCGACCUAAUCAGUACGUCAGGCCACUCCCUACCAUCGUCUCUUCGCGUGGGAGGUUUUUAUGACAUCCAAUCAACAUAUUUUCCUCCAAAAAUAGGUUCCAAUGAACGCUUCAAAUCUCCUGAUUGUAGAUCCCGGUGAAAUCGAACAAAAACGAACGAGCGAUCAAAGUAAAAUACAAAAGAAAUCAUACGUCUUCAAAACAAAAAAAAACAUUAUCAGAAAUUCGAUGUGAAAUGCUCUCAUCAAGGGUCUAUCGGGACUAGCUGCUCUGGAUUUACGGGAAUGUCAGGAGUCCACCGUGCACUAGUCUACCAAAAACAAUAAUGGGUCCUUCAAUGUGAUAGCAACGGCAAUAUCUCGAAAGUGUCCAAAACCUUGAAGUAGAUGUAGGCGACGGGAAUUGCAUAGGGGAUCCUAGGAGCUGCACCCCCUUACAUCUCCACCAUGCAGCUCCAUACAGAUUCGGAAUGUACACUACGCGUGUUGUGUAUAACUCCUUGUAUCAGUUAGCUGCAGUAAAGAUAUUGCCGUAUAAGUGUGUCCUUUUGUGUAGUGCUGGGCUCACCAGAAGAUAGAAGUUGUACAUCGCCUCUGAGCCUCUAUUCUCGCCGUGUUUAAUGUCGAUGGUUCUGGUCAUACCGCCCCACGCACCCAACACAAUUACUCUCUCAUAUUCUCUCUUUUCCUCCCGGAUCUCCGUCCAGAUCUGCGCUCCCGCCACCCUAUAUCCGUUGCCAUGUGUGCAUCAUCUUCCUCUUCCUCUAAUCAGUUGUCCCUACUGCAAGAGGGGAGAUGUGGAAUGGUGGGUGUCCCACACCAAGCUGAACCCCAGGAGGCACUUCUACAAGUGUGGGCGUCACUGGGUGAGUUCCUCUUUUUUCCCGUCUUAAGUGCAUAGAUUCAUAGAUUUGUUCUGUUCUAAUCAUUUUCUUCAUGUUCCUCGUUUCCCCUUAAUCUCAAAUCUAGAAAGGCAAAGGUUCUUUCAGAAGUGGGAAGAUGUCUAAAUCGAUGUUCUCAUAGCCAAGUGGCCCAAGCUGUUCAUACCUAUUGCCCAGCCUAAGAACAGUGGCAUCACUAUGAUCUUGAUCCUCAUCGUCGGUAUCCUCAACCUCUUUGUUGUUCUUCACCUUAGUCCGAAGAAGAACGGAAGCUGAAGCUGCUCCAAUGCUGAAUCUAAACCAGUGUUUAGGAUCUAGCCAACUAAUGAUUAUGCACUGCCUGUUUCUGAAGUUUAGUUUGCCCAUAAUUGUCCCUUACAAUAUGUGUGUCUGCCAGUGCAGUUAAAUUUGUUUUCUAGUUAACCAUUUAUUCAGGGGAGAAUCAUAUGUUGAUCGCCUCCUGUAGUUUAUCAUGAGGUUAGCCUUACAGGUGGCACCAAAGUAUUGUAUGUGUUGUAAGCUUGUCCCCUAAUAUAUAUUUAUGUGAUAACUAUGAUUUGUGUUCUUUUUUGUAACUGCUUAAUUUGUUUGUUUAUCUUAGAUACGUAAUCAUGUCCAUUUGAUUUUCAUCUUAUAUAUGAUUUUAGCAACAUUACCCUUUAUUCAUUCAUAUUUGCCAUUUUUCAAAACCAAUUUUCUGUCUUAAAUGCUCUGCCCAAAUGUUAGGCUCCUUAUAAAACCAUGAAUUGCAUUGAAAAUGCUCUACUCAACAUCUCUAGUCAGUUGUCCAUGCUCCCACGUUCUCUAAUAAUUAGUGCUGCCAAUAAUAUGUUGAUCCCUUCAUAUGAUUCCCUAUCAACUUGAUUUCAUUCACAUGAGUACCCAAUUUGUCUGGACAUUUCUCUAUAAAUGAACAAUUAUGUCUUAAAUGUUCAGUUAAGAUGAGUACUGCCAGUAAUAUCCCAUGUUCAGUAAAAAUGAGUACUAUUAUUUGUUUUCCCGUUCAUGCCAUUAAUAAAUCUUGAGCACAUGGUGCCUGAAAUUCAGUCACAUUGCUCUCUGCUACAUCUCCCCCUGUACCCUGCAUCACCAUUAUUAACUACACCCUCUCCUUGCUCCUCCUUCAUCAGUCCACUCCUUCAGUUCUUCUUCCUGCACCACCGCCAACGGCUCCACCAACAGCAGCUUUCCUCGCCACUCGAAGUGCUUCUCCACCAAUGUAAGUAUCUCGCUAUAAAACAUGUUUAAUUGAUUCUUAAAACCGGCUUCUUUUUAAAAUCUACUCAAAAUGUUCUUCCAGGUAAGAUGGCGUCCCUGAUCCAUGGCUCAUCCAGCCGUUCUGCCGACCAAGUCAUUGAACAAGCUUAUGAAAAAGAGGCAAAAUAAAUGUCAUGUUCUUAAGUGUACAAAAAGCACAACUAUCAUUUAAUAAUGUUCCCACCACACCAUGUAUCUGUUGCUUGUAUUCCGGUAGUAUGUGGCCAUAAAGAUGUUUUUGAGAAAUUAAUGUGAAGAUCUGACUAUAGUAAAGAAUGGGGAUGAUAUCAGGGUGUACAACAGCUCAGAGCCACAAAUCUUCAUCCUGUAGGCGGCCUGCUAUAUCAACCCUCCUCUAUAGUGCAGGAAAAAUACUUAGAAAGAAAAAACAUUUGCACCCUAUUUGAUGAAACUGCUUAUCACAACAACUUCGGGCAAACAUGGCAUAGUAAUCGAGGAACUAGCAGCCGGAUGAAGCAAUUUAUACUAAAAUGUUAUACUUAUUUAAACUAAGUUUGCCAUACUAUAGUUUUAGUUAGUGUAAUUUUUCAAUACUUAGCUAUUAUAGUUAACCACAUAAUUGUGUUCCCACAUAAUUGUUAUAGUGUUUUUGUUAUACAUUUGUAGUGUAUGCUAAUGGAAAACUUGCUCCUGUCAAAUUUAAAUUGUAUGAUGUAACAAAAUUUCUUCUUAAAUACAUUUUCUAUAUAUAUUUAUCGAAUACUUGUAUAUUGCAUUUGUGUGUGUGUGCGCGCGCAUGUUCUUAUAUAUUUUAAUGCCAUAAAUAUCAUCAUAGAGGUUUCUAAAUCAUAUACUCUAACAAUUGUCUUAAUAGUGUUUUAUUGCGAAUUAUUAGUAAGUGUGUGUGUAUAGAAACUUCUAGGCAUGGCAAAUCGACCUUGCAAGUUGGACUCGGCAAUAAGUUGGUAACAUGUGUGAGCUUUGCUUACUUGUGUAUAAAAUAAGAUCAUAAUUGUAAUCAUGAAGACAUAAAAUAUUGUUAAUUUUAAUAUUUCAUAUGUACAAUUUAAUUAUUUGAUAUGCUCAUGUAUAUGAAAACUCCUGCCAGUUUCUCAGAAAUCAUGCAUGCAGAACUCCAAUGUCCCAUGUGUCCCAACUUAGCAUACAUUUCAAAAUUCAAAUUUGUCCAUCAACUAAACAUGGCCUAUGUGUCACAAAUACUCUUUUUGAUAUAAAAAAAUUGCACUCGAGAUGGUGAAUUUUUUUUUUGCAUAUUACAGAACUUUUAAGGUAGGUCAGGAAAAAGAAUGAUGUGGGAAAAGGUUUCUUUCUUCUUUCUUCUCUCUCUGUACUAUUUCAAAACCGAGUCGAAACCACCCAAAUUAUCAGUAAGACCCAGUGGCGGAGGCAAGGUGGUCAAGACUUGAGACCACUCAAACCCGUGUGUAAAAACCCUCAGGACUGGGUGAAGGACCAAUGAUAUUUGUAAAAAGGCAUACUUUAACUUUUUCGGAUGUAAAAAGGCCUAUCUGCUAGCCGUAGCCAAGGCACCGGGAAUCCCCUCCCUACCACCGACCGUCAGAGCAGCUGACGAAUGGGAGGCAAAUCCACAUGCUCACCAACAGAGAUUGAGGGGGAGGAACGCUUUUCCCCAGUCGCCUCACGAGAGGAGAAAGAAAAGCAACGGAGAUCUACUCUAUGUUUGACCAUCAGAAAGAAAAAAUUACCUAUACUGGUAAGACGAAAUUGAUAUUACUAGAUCCACUAAUGCUAGUUGGCUCCAUUUUCUGUUUUCAUUAAUUAAAGGGCGCAACUAAAUUUUACAAAGUCUUAUUAGGAUGGUCACAGUGGAAGUAUCAUGCAAGUUAACUAGACAUUUUUGCUGAGGUGACACACAAUUGUAUGAGGAAAAAGAUGAUUGAGUAUCAUGAUAUGGUAUCGUACCAUAUUACAUGAUAUGCUAGUAUGUGGCAUGCAUGACAAUAAAUAAGAUCACUAUACACCGUGGAGGUAGUAUCAUACACUAGUACCAUAUGCAUGAUACUAUCACAACUUGUGCACUUAAAAUAGGAGCAUCCGGAUUUGAAUCUUUAUGAGAAAGUCAUGCAUGCAAAACUUCGCUACCCCAUGUGUGGUAAAUAAAUCAAGUAGUUUACCCCCUCCAUCCUAACUUUAUUGCAUGCACACAUUUUAAAAUUCAAGUUUGAUCGUCAACUAAAUUUUGGCAAGAUAUAACAAAAAUCAAAUCAUUAAAUUCGUAUUCAGAAUAGUUUUCAAUGUUAUAAAGUUUAUGGAACAUAGCACGACCCGUAUACACAGAACAAGUGCCUUUCAGUUCAUUUCGAUAUAAAGAUAGUUCUUCACUCGAGACGUCAAAUGUAUAGUUUCUUGCAGAUUACUCAACUUUCACAGGUAAGCUAAACCAUAAGUCCCAGGACAGGAAGAGUGGAUAAGAUUCUUGCUCUCAAUGAUCAUUGUGUCCUUGGAUCAUCUUUCUCUUCUCUCUACUAUUUCAACUGGAAAAGUUCCCUCCGUAAAUGCCUUGUUGGAUCCGUAGGCGCUGGACCUCGAGUUCUGAAUGCGCUGUUAGAUCGAGCAAGACUUUUCUCUGCUGUGGAUGUGGAUGUAGUUAGAUCUUACCAACCAAAGCCUCAUCCGAAUAUGUAACCUUUGCAGCUUUACAGGGAUCAUCAUGCAUGCAGGGUACACAUCUGCCCUUGUCCAUUGACACCGAUGGCUCCAAAUCAGACAUUACCGACGAGGCCUUAUCUGGUGGGAUGACUCCAAAAAAAAAAGUACAACACGGUUAACAUGGCGAAAGAUUGUGCAAUGAUCUGCUAAGAAUAGUCGACAGGAGAUGUCUAUUCUUGGCCACAGGAUCCAGCACGAAAGGCAUUGUGGAAAAGCAGAGAGAUCGUUCGGUGCUGGUCCAAGGUUUGGUAAGCGGGGUGACAAUUUCAUAGCAGAUUCGUGCUUAGCAGGACGUGCAAAAAACAGGCAAAAGAGAGUUUGGAAAGAGUUGGCGAUACGGAGCUGGCAGAGUGGCAAGUGAGGAUAUGAAAAAAUAUCUCCCAUCAUAGAAGUAAGUUCAAAGAGCUUUAUUUGUCAUCUAAAUUCCUGUCUGAACAUACCAGAACGCUGGAAGAUAGUUUAGCAUGUAAUUUAUCUCAUCAUCACUUUUGAGGUGUACUUAGGUAGGAGUACUUACUAUCUAGCAGUAUUAUUUAUUUUGUACGGGUCCAAAAUUUCAGUUUUUGCCUCCCAUGUUCACAGAAGUGCUUUGUACGGUUCAGGAAUUAAGGCUUACUGGCCCAUAUAGCUCAGCCUUUAAGUUUGUUGUAGUACGGUUCGAUUUUAUCUUCAGGUUUUCUUUGUUCAUCUUUUACUAUAAAAAAUCGGGUAUAUUUUUAAAAUGUGUGCAUAAUAGGUGAUUCUUCUUCCAUUUUAUAGUUCUAUAAAUCCAUGAAUAUUUGUAAAGGUUCUCGAACAUUUCUUACAUUUGUGAACAUAAAUUCAUUUUUUUCAGUACUCCAUCCGAUCCAUAUUAAUCGUCGUUGAUUUAGUACAACUUGUAUCGGAGGUAGUAGUACAUUUUUAUAAUUAAUACAACAUCAGUUUUUCUUGGAACCUUAUCUUUCAUAUCUAAAUAGCUAGAUCUCACUACUAGAUUCUAUGCAAAUGUGUGCUUCCACGUCAUGUAAAUUAGUGAUAGUUGUCUGAUUGCAAUUGUGUGGCAUCAACACAUUAUGCAUGUACACAUAAGUUGCAUUUUUUUUACCGCUCAAAAAAAACAUAAGUUGCAUUUUUUUAAUUAAUUUAUCAAUGCAAACAAGGCCACCUCAUCAAAUAUGCAUUAAUUUAUCCAUGCAAAUAAUGCCACCAUAUCAAGACAAGACAUGCAUGUAUUUUUUUUCGAAUGAAUCAAGUCAUGCAGGUCAGUCACAAGUUAUUGUUUUGGGGUCAUGGACAGUAUAUCGCUUGACACGAACGGUAUGAUUCACGUCGAAUCGCAUUGGUCAGGCGACCCAUCAAGUUCCCGAAGGCUCCCUCCUCCGCUUGAUUGUUUCAUUUUUUAUUUUAUUUUUUGCACAUAGGUUUCAAUUAUCCUUCCUCGUUUCAUUUUUAUUUUUCACUCACUCUGGCUCAAAACGCUAGCACAAUGGUUUUUUGUUUGUUUUGAAAAAAGUUUAUGAAAUCAAAUAAGUUAGUGAAUUAAAAAAAUCUCAAAAUUAAAAAAAAUCAGGAAAAAUUUGUGAAUUUAAAAACUAUUAUGUAACCUAAAAAAUAUUUCCAAUUAAAAAUAUAUUUACGAAUUUAAAAAUGUCUGUGCAUUUGUAAAAUAUUCAUGAAUUUCAAACGGCUUGAUAAUUUAGAACAUGCUUAUGAAUUUCAGAAUCUAUUUGUGAAUUAAAACAUAUUUGGGGAUUCCAAAAAUAAUUAUGAAUUUUUAAUAAUAUUCAUGAAUUUCAAUAUGUUCAGAAAUUUGAAAAAAUGUUUUCUGACUCAAAAAAAUUGCACAGUUAAAACAAUGUUCAUGAAUUCACAGAUAUUCAUGAAUUUGGAUAAAAAUAUUCAAAAUUUUAAUAUUUUCAUAAAUUAAAGAAAUUAAAGUAAAAAAGUGAAGGAAAAAAAUGGGCAAUAAAAUGAAAAGAGGAAAAGGCAGAAAAUAAAACACAAAAAGAAAAAUUAGAAAACCUGGCUCGCAAACGCAAAAAAAUGAAGUCUUCCUUUUGUUUAAUAAAGACACCCGAAGGGCAUCUUAGAUCUGAUUAAUAUCGAAGAAAACAAGGCCAAUACAACGAAUAGAUAACUCGACGUAGAACGACCAGUAAAAAAUAAAAUUGCAUUAAAAAGCAUACUAGCCUUCUUCUUCCUCCGAUUGUAUACCGUCCGCCGGAGAUUGAAAAAUGCACUGAACCAACAGCAAAACAAAAAGAGACACCUGCAAACACCCUCGUCAUACCAGGUUUUGAAGACCAUCAUAGCCACUCACCCCUUGAGGCGAGAUCUGGAAAUUGCUGAAGCAACAUCGGUUGGAGCAUCACCCCACGCAGAACGGACUUGCAAUACAUCACCACCAAUUCAGCGGGGUGGAGAAACCGAAUCAAGCCACAGAAGAACACAAAGGCAGAUGUCGAAGUCGCCACACCAAUAGCUAGCCAAAAGCUCCCCUUGAAAGACACACGAACUGCCAAGAUCUGAAUGAAACCAACAGAUCUAGGGACACAAACUCACACAUGCCUUUCAUCGGCAUCGGAUCAGACGUUGUCAAGGUAGGAAGAGACCGGAGUGACCAUAUUCCAACACGCCAUCGUUGCCAGCACUUCGUCUAUGUCGAAAGACAAGCAAAAACCUAAGAUAAGUAAAAUGAAAUGGACGGGUCCCCACUCCUCUUCUCGCCAACUUGGCCGCCGGACAGGGAAGAGGAUGGGGGCCAAGGCGGUGGCUAGGGUUGGGAGUGAGAUAAAAAAAACCUUCCCAACAUCUUUCCCUAUGCCCUAAUGGGCGGACCUAUCAGGGGUGCUCAAUGGGCGAGCGCUAUCGUAACGAUUGCAGCGGGCAAUGCAUAUCGUUUAUGAAGCUAUUUAACAAAAUCAUUUUUGAAUCUUUUGCCACGGAAGUUGGCAGAACUUCAUUGCCCAUCCCAACAAGUUGAGCCAUUGUUCCACAUGACCAUUCUCAGGUUAUAUUAAUGAAUUAAGCAAGGGCGCGUAUAUCAGGCGCGACUAUGUCUUGCUUAUAGCGGGACAUAUGGCUGUCUCACCCGAAGCAAAAGCCAGAAUGGGCCGGCCCAGCGUGCCGGAGGCCACGGGCCUCAAAACCGCUUAUUUUUUUCAAUGUUUUUCUCAUACUUUUUUUGUUUUUCUUUCUUUCUAACUUUUGUUUACACUUAUAAAUAUAUAAAUUUCAAAAAGCUAUUUACUUAAAUUCUUGAAAAUGCUAAUAAUUCCUUUAAAAAUGUUAAACGUGUAUUAAGAAGAUGCUUCUGAUGUAUACAAAAAAUGUACAAAGUGUAUGGAAAGAAGUAGACAUCAAAAAAUAUAAGAUUUCAAUUUUUUUGAGCAAUGUUAAUCAUGUAUUUUAAAAAUAUUAAAUGAGUAAAAAAUCUGAUAUAGAAUAAAUGUACAAUGUUUAUGGAAAAAAAGUAGACAUAAAAAAAUAUCAGUUUACAAAAUAAAAAAAGGAAAAAUUUUAAUCAUGUAUUUAAAAAUGAUAAAUGUGUACAAAAAUUCCGAUGUAUACAAAACAUUUACAUAAAAAUGUGCAAUGUGUAAGAAACAAGUAGGCAUAAAAAAUAUAUAUUUUUUAUUAAAUUAUUCAUAUAUUUUGACAACGAUAAAGGCAUAGAUAAAAAAUCUACAAUGUGUAUGCAAAAAAUAGACAAAAAAUAUUUGCUUUAAAAAAUGUUAACCCUGUAUAUAUAUAAUGUUUUUGAUAUAGACAAAAUGUACAUUAUUUAUCAAAAACGCAGACAUAUGUCUUAGAAAAGUAAUUUAUUUUAAAAAUAUUAAACGUGUAUACAAAAAAAUCCUCAUUUAUACAAAAUGUGGACAUUGUAUUUGAAAAAAGCAAGCAUAAAAAUUACAAGUUAUAAAAAUGUUAAUCAUGUAUUUCGAAAAUAUUAAAAGUGUAUAUAAAAAUGUUACUGAUGUGUAUGAAAAGUGUGCAAAGAAAACAAAGAAAGCCAAUAAAAGCCAAAAAGAAACACGAAAUAACAAAGAAAAACAAAAAUAGAAAGAAAAGUAUUAAACCAAGAAAGAAACAAAAAACACAAAGAAUCAAGAAAAAAGCCAGGUAAAAAGGCUGAAAGAAACAAGUUAAAAGUCGUAAAAACAGAAAACCGAAGAAAAUUGACAAACAAAAUAAGAAAACCGAAAGAAAUAAUAAAAGAAAAUGGAAAAGAAAGAAACCCAGGCCAAACCAGUACAUCAAAUGAGCUAGCGAGCAACUUAAGCUGCGAGAGAGUGAUUGGCUGGCCCUAUAUGCAGCGCGCCUUCAGGCGAGAUGGAUGUUAUACUCGUUAUAAGUGAGGUAUAACAUUUGCGCGCCUAUAGAGACCUCCUAUUUAAUGCUCUUUGAGUCAAAUAGGAGGGUGGCCGCACAUGGAGCCAUUGCGCUGAGCAAGAGCGAGACGUACGUGCAUCGUAGUGAAUCGGGAUCAAGCAUUGUAACGAACCAGGACAGAGCAUUCAAGCGAACUAGACCAGUAACGGCAACGCAUUAUGUAGCAACCAUGUCCUGUAGCAACUGAUUUUUCUGUGUGGACACUUGUUUUUGAGAAAAGUGAACAUAUGUUUAAAUUUGUGCGCUUUUAUAAACUCAAAAAAGGAGGAUGGGGCGUCGACCUGUUGGUUGGGCAGCUGGGGUUGCUGCCAGCUCAUCCGAGUUCGAGUCCUGGCUCGGACGCUCAGUGCUCGCGAAGUUUCUCCUAUAAAAAAAUACCAACGAGGGUUAGCCCUUGGGUUGGUCUCAUUUUUUUACAAACUCAAAAAAAUUCUUAUUUCUAAGAAUUUUUGUAAGGAAUGUUAUAUAUAAUUUUUUCAAUAUUUUCCCAAAUUCAAAAUCAGUUUUUAAAAAAUAAAACAUUUUUUUGAAUUGGUGAACAUUUUUCAAAAGCGGUUCAGGAACCUUCUGCUUCUGGAAGGUCGCAAAACAGGCAAAACCCAGGCUGGAACCUUCCAGCCCAAAACCGCAUUUGCUAUAGAACUAGCGUCGUUCAGCAGCUGCAUGUGUGUUUCGACUGAGCGUCACAUUGGAAAUGCAGCGUCUAUAUCUCAUAUUUAGCGAGUUGCUGAAUGUCCAUGUAGUACUUUUUGCCUGUCUACACCAUUAUCGAAAAAGCUUUCGCCCCGAUUUAUAUAUAAAGAAAUGACCGACCACAACUCAGAUACAAACGCACGUCACCAUAAUACACGCACACACCCAAGGCUGGAUACAUAUGCGCUGAGCGCAGCAACACUACCUCUAGUACUACAAAAGCAACAGGAGUCCUCAGUCGUGAACACGCCACCGCGAAGAAGCCGCCGCAUACGACGAACCGUCUGCUCCAAAGUGGUGCCUUCAGGAAGGGUACGACACCAGAGCGCUGCCACCGCCCGACCCGAAGAUCGGAGUUUCCCCUGGAGCAACACGACGGGCAAUAAGCACCGCGACGACGCCUUCAAGAAGGGAACAAGCUUCGCCGCCACCGGUCCGUCCGAAGAUAGAUCAGAUUUUCACCCCGGCCAACACUCACCACAACCGGACGCCACACCCCAACGACCACGCCGCCCACACGGCCAUGGCCACCGGGAAGCACCUAACCACGGGCUCUGCCCAUGAGCACCGCGGAACCACCACCAGGGCCGCCGCCCUGGCAUCCAAGACCUGGACACCACCUCACUCGAGACCCACCGCUACCCAAACCAAAUAUACGAGCGAGAAGGACCCGCCUUUCACACCCCUGGGCUGCCCCCGACGUCGAAACCCAAUAGAUCGGCCAAAACUGACCUCCAUUGACCCGUCCUGCGGCACCGGGCGUGAAACGAGCAUGGUCCUGCUGCCGGGCGCGAGACGAGGCCGGUCCUACAGACGAGCCGACGCCAAAACGCCAGUCGCCGGCCCGCCGAGCUGCCGUGAUGCCGGCACGGCGAAGCCACCUCGCCGCCGCCGCCCACAGUCGGAGCCACCGCUACGCCGGGCCAGAGCCCCAAACCCGCGCUGCCCGCGGGAAAAAGAGCGACAAAUCCGGCAGGCACGCAUCACCACCAUCGCCACCAUGCCGCCGCCAACGAGCGCACCAGCUCCCGCGCGCCGCCCGCUGGUCCUUGCCGCCUCAACCCGCGCCGCCUGCUGGCCACCAACCAGAGCACCCGCCAGAUACAAAUCUGGCGAGGACACCCGCAGCCGCCACCCGUGUAGGCACGCCCCACCGCGCCCCCGAAGAGCAGUCGCCCGCGCCGCCAACCUAGACCACCACCGCCAUGCCGCCCUGGCCGCCGUCACGCCGUCCUGCAGAACCGCACGCAUCCGCGUUGUGUCGUCGUCCCGCACCGUCCCACCGCGAGGAAGGGGAAGAUGCCUGGCCGCCACCGACGUCGGCCGGGCUUUGCCCGGUGGCGCGUUCUGGCGGCGGCGGUAGGGGGGGAGGGAGGAGGCUGGAGGAGAUGCGCUAGGGUUCGCCUCGCCGCUCACGGGAGCGAACGAGACAAGACGAGUUUGUAUGUAUUAUCCGCAACCCACUCUACACCAUUGAAUAACAACAACUAAUAGAAUAUUUAUCUCAUGUACUCAUGAGUACUUUUUCUCUCUCGAAUACGCACGAUUGUGUGUACUAUAUAUUAUAUAUUAUAGGAGGGGUAAAGAGCCCUCAUACAACCGUUUGCUAGAAGAAAAGUCUCCUGUGUAUAUAUGAAAAACAGCUACUGGUUCAUUUUGGUAGUGCAUCUAUCUAAGCAUGAUAUUUGUUUUAAUCCAAGUGACAUGUGUCCCGUUGAGAUAAAAAUUAUUUUCUAUUAUUCUAUAAAAAGUUCAUAUGUAUUUAGGAAAUAUUCAUCUUGUUUUAAAAAUUAUCCAUUGUGCAUUUAAAAAAAUUGAAUGUGUGUUUAGCUUUUAUUUCAAGUUAUUAGAAAUUUUCAAGUUACUAAAAAUGUCACAUACUCUAACUAAAAUACUCAUGCUACUUAAACACCAACAUUCAUGCUGUUAAAACGUUUCACACAGUUUACAAAAAGUUUCACACUAUUUUACAACAAUAUACGCAUAUGUUAAACGAAAUGUUCACGCUAUUUAAAAAAUCAUGCUGUUUUGAAAAUAAUAACCGUUUUCCAAAAUGUUUACCCUAUUAAAAAAAUCUCGCUCUGUUUACAAAAAUUAUCACAGUAUCUUAGAAAACAAUACGAACUUAAAAUAAAAUUUCCAUGCUACUAAAAAAAGUUCAGGUUGUUUACGAAAAUCACUACAUUGUUUUUACAAUAAGAAAAAACGGGUGUAUCUUACACUGUGGAGCAAAGAAAUAAAAGUGAAAAUAUAACUAUUAUAGAAAGAAAGGAAAAAUUAAAUUAAAUUAAAACACAAAGGUAGAAAGUGGAAAUGGAAAAAGAAACAGAAAACAUUAAAGAAAAGGAAAAGAAGUAAAGAAACGGAACUAGAAAAAAUGAUAAAUAAAAACAUCGAAACCCGGAGAAAAGUAUAAAAAAUACACUAAAUCAGGACUGAAAGGAAAACCGCUCUGCCUUGGUACUCGGCUGCGGCCCACGUCGGAAGCGCCUGAGGCGAGCACUAGCUCUAACUCGCAGUACGCAAGAUAUAGAUUCAGCGUUAUACAAGUACUUUUGUCAAAAAAAAAAGUUACACAAGGACCCAUAGUAUUUUUUUAUUCCAUAAAAAAUAGAUACAUAAAUGGGAUAUUUUUUUACCAAGUCCGUUCAAAUUAUCCAUCCUAAGAGCAUCUCUAGCAGACCCCGCAUCCCGCCCCGACCCGCAAAAUAACCGCCAAAAUACGGUUUGGGGCGGGAAAACCUGCCCGAUCAGACACCGCAUUCGCGGCCGACCCGUAAUUUUUUUUGCGGGGCACGGCAAAAGAUCUCCCCCGACCUCUAGAUUCACGGGGUGGGAGGAUGACCCGAGCUCGGCCUCUAUCCGCAGCGGGAUUUGGCGGGAGGGACAUUUCCGCGCGGCCGUUCCGCCCACACACACACCCUCCGCGACCAUUGCCCUGCCACCUCCCGCUCCGGUGCAUCUUCCCCAGCCGUCCUUGGCCGCCAUGGAUGACUCCCUGCUGUCCCCCGUCGCCGUCGAGGUCGCGCACGCUCAAUCCCCUCAGGCGGAUCUCGUCGCCGGCCAUGUUGGCACCACUGCGCCUGCCCGCAAGCGGCAGGGCAACGUGGUCGUGCAGGGCGGGAAUCCGGCUGCCCCCGCCACGAAGGCCCACGCUCCGAUCGGCAACGCCGCUGCGCGAUCCCGGCUGGCGGCGGAGAAGGUCGCCAAGGCAUCCAGCGUAAAGCGCAAGAGGAUUCCGGCUACAAAGAAGCCGGCUCCUUCAUCCACUCCCUCCGCCUCGGAAAGAGGUUCCCCGGCGAUGCCGCUCAACGGUGCUGCUCCCACCGCAGGCGAGGUGUUUGACAAAAUGGCCGGAAGGUAUGCGUCUUCGGUCAUGGCAAUUUCCUUUGCUUUUCGUCAUUUGCGAUAGCUCGUGACUUGUUGUCGUUCACUAUAGCGGUGGUUCGAACAAUGCAACUGUCGAGUUCGUGAGCUUGCUGGACACAAACACCGUUGACAUCGAUCAAGCCCCAUUCGCCGCAUUCGAUUACAAUGAAACGGAGGGCGGUGUGGAUGAUCAUGGUGGUGAGGAAGAAAUGGAGGAGAUCGAUGAGGGGGCGUAUGAGAAAUCGCAAACAAAAAGUGGAAAAUGCGAGAGAUCGUAGAACUACACGAUCUUGGAAGAUCAAAUCUUGAUCCAGGCAUGGAGUGCGGUGUCUCUUGAUACAUGCACGGGUACUUCUCAAACCGCCAAGAGGUAUUGGCAAAGGAUCGAAGAUCAAUACUUCCGCAUGAUGAGAAAGUAUCCCAAUAGGACUUCACGCACCUUUUGAUCAAGCCUAUUUGCAGCCGUUGGGCAGCUUGCUUGGAGCAAGUACGCAAUGCAGUGCCAAGUGGAACCGUGGAAUCCGGCUAUGUGAGUUCGUUUUGACUUUGUUCAAGUUGUGCACAGCAUAUUGCAUCAUAUGAAAUGAGCAUCAUUUGACUUUGUUCAAAUUGUGUAGGACAAAAUUGCCCAACAUAGAUACAAAGACAUGGAAGCUUUGGAAGGCAAAUUCUUCAAACUUCAGCAUUGUUGGGACUUGCUCAAAGAGUGCGAGAAGUGGAAGUUGAUUGACAAAGAAUCCCCACCGAAGAGAGGUUCACUUACAAACAUGGAUGAAGAUGAGGAUGAUGAUGGCCCAAGAAACUUGAACAAGCCCGAUGGCGGCAAGAAGACUAAGGAGAAGAUGAAGAGAGAGCACGAAGAAUCGAGCUUAAGGGAGAAGAUUGAUGUCAUGGUGCAAUCAAAUGAGUUGAUGUUAUUGAAGUCGUUGGAGAUCAAGAAAGAGUUGGCCGAGAAGAAGGCAAGGGAGAAGCAAGAAAAAUGGCAAUUGCUCAAGGAAGAGGGGCUGCGCAAAGCGGCCAUUGAGGAGAGAAGAGCACGUGCCACUGAAAAAACAAAGCCAUGUCCAAGUCGCUCGCCGAAGAGAACAAGAUCAUGACAAUGAAGCGCAAUGACAUGGACGACCUCACCAAAGAAUGGCAUGAUAUGGCAAGAAGAGAAAUCUUGAAGAGGAGAAUGGUUGCGUCGGCCAGUGCGUGUUACAGUGCCGGAGAUGUUUUCUCGGCGGGUUUUGGAACCAAUGUCGAUGAUUUCGGCGGGGGUUGGAACAAGCGCCGGAGGUGGAUUCAGUGGUUCCGAUGAACUCCAUGGACUCGAUGGCGCGGAGUGAAUAUCGACCAAGAUGAUGUCGGACGUGGUCGUCACUUUUGCAAGACCCUCUUUUGCGUUUGUCCUACAAAACCUAAGCUUUUAUUUGCGCGUGAACUGUGUUCUAUAUUUGACUUUGAACUUAUUUGUCGGAACCGAUGCCAAAUUCGAUAAUUGGGUGUCUUCGGUUUGCGGGUCGACGCGGCGGUGCCCGAGCAGACCCCGCGUAGCCGACCCGUAAAAGAGCAUAUUCACCGAAUAUCCUUUUUUACGGGUCUAUUUUGCGGGGUCUGGGUGUCGGUGUCAAAACCGGCAGAUCUCGGGUAGGGGGUCCCAAGCUGAGCGCCAUGGAUCGAUGGGUAACAGGGAUCAGGGGACACGAUGUUUACGCAGGUUCGGGCCCUCUUAAUGGAGGUAAUACCCUACUUCCUGCUUGAUUGAUCUUGAUGAAUAUAGAUAUUACAAGAGUUGAUCUACCUCGAGAUCAUAUGUUGUGGUCUAAACCCUAGAGGUAUGAUGAGUAAUGUCAUAAUGAUCUAUCUACUAGCCUGGCCUCGGCUUAUAUAACAUACCAGAGGCCCAGGAUAACAAGAGUCCUAGUCAAAUACGCCGGUGGAGAGGAGUCCUUGUCUUGAUCACCAAGUCUUGUGGAAUCUUCCUCGUAUAUGCAUCGGUUGCCCGAACUGGCCCAUGAGUAAACGGCCACGGGGGUCUUCGGCCCAAUCCAACUAAUCGGGAGACGACGUGGUGAAUACCCCCUAGUCUAGGACACCGUCAGUAGCCCCCUGAACCGGUCUUCAAGUUGGGGACACUCCUCGAUUCUUCCAAACUGUUCUUCAUCUUCGGUCGCCGGUGUUGAAAACUGGUUCAACAAAUCUUCUUAUCUUCGAUCUUGAGGAUCGCCGAAGUGAAUCCGAAGAGUUUACACGUCGGGUAUCCGAGGAGCCCUUUAAGUCUUCGGCCUUUAUCAAUGCCCUGUUAUUUUUAUGCCAUGCCUUGGGUUUGAAGUGUUUCCCGUGCGGCGGUGUCCUCUUGCAUCCGAGCUCCAACGCCGGACUGCAUUCGAGGUAUCUUUUGCAACCGAGCACCAACGUCGGUCUGCUUCCGAGCUCCAACGCCGGAAUGUAUCCGAGCUCUAACGCCGUACUAUGUCCAAGCUCCAACGCCGGACUGUAUCCAAGCUCCAACGCCGGACUAUAUCCGAGGUGUCAUAGAUCACCUUGGUUCAAAAAAGUUGAAGGAGUUUAACUGAGCUUAAUGCCGGAAAUGCCCUCUAUGGAGCCAGCCACUUGCAUCCGAGCUAUAUCCCGAAAUGCUUUCGAGGUGGUUCAGCACCUCGGUCAUGGGCUGAUUGUUUGCGGAUUUUAUUUCCGAUACGUGUAAAUUUAUUCGCUGUCAAUAUGUAUAACCAAUAGCCCUCAAGGUGUGUGUCGGUCUAAAACCCGAGAUGCACUUGAAGGAAAACAUGAAACCCGCUGAUCCUAGUAGCCCCUGAGACUCAGGUCGAUGCGCGAAAUCACCCUGAGGAUCAACUCCUAGCUCGGCAACAUACGUAGGAAUAGAAAUGCAGUGUAAUAUAUGAGAGAUAAUAGUGAUCGGCGAACGGGCCCUUGAGAGAGGGUCUUGAGAAGUUGUCGUAAUAUAUUAGCUUGAUGCGGAUAGGUCCAGAUGGUACCUAUUGUUGUCCGAAGACGCGUUUGCCCAUAGUUCGGUCAAGCCGAACACUAAGCACUUUGAAUUUUUCACAUUGAAUAGGCAAUGCAGUAGCCCCCGAAACACUGGUCGGGUGGCAACACCAGAUCAGGGGAUCGAUGUGCCCCUGUAAUAUUUGUAAAUAAUAAGUGUGAAGCCCAGUAGCCCCCGAGCCUUAAUGUGGACACGGGUGGCCGAAUUAAGGAUCGAUAUCCGUUUGAUAGAAAAUUUUGUUGUGUUUAACACAAACUUCUCGGAAAGAGAAUAAAAAUCUCAAAAAGGAGUUAGAGCUAACGAAAGUUGAGCUCGCCAAGUUCGGCCUUAAGGGGCUUAAUAGAUAGGAAAUCAAUACCAAUAGAGAACUAUGAGAGCGUUAUGUCAGCUGGUCGGUUGUCUCAAAGAGACUGUGCCAUUGACUCUUUAAAAGAUUGGCUGCGAAAAAAUUGAUUUUUGCUCACAAUUUAUGUGUAAUGACUCUAUGUACCCAAGUACUUUACAUCAUUAAUGUUCGGAUCCGUAUUGUACAAAACUUUGUUGACCGACCAUCAGCUUCAACCUCUUCGGCCAGAAGCUGGAGAGUGUUUGUCCUACUUUAUAAAGCCUUUAUAAGGGCAAAGUUUUAGGCAAACAAGGCAAUCCGACCAUAUGGCUUUAUAAACAAAGGUACGCGGAGAGAUAUGUUAUAUUACUUAAUCAUAAGAAACAUCUCCCAAAGAAAAUAGUCCCGCUAUCGGUUUCUUUCUUUGGGUUCUCAUGCUGAUCAUGAUCAUGAAACCUCGCCUCCAAUCAAUGCGGGAGGAAAAUAUUGAGGAUUUAGUUCGGGGAAAGUUUCCGAACUCUAUGGUAUUAAUGAACCAAAAUUUUCACUUCCGUCGUUGCCGACCAAUUAUAUCCUUUAAGAUUGCUAGCUUUCGGCUUCACCCAGUCUGAGGUACUAACUCGGAUAACCCGGUAGUAACAAUCACAGAGGUGCUCCCUUUACCGCCUAGCCGAACAAUCGGGAACGUAGGGGUAAGCACAGGAGCCAGGCAACCCAGUUUGGCCAAAAUCUUAAGUCAAAUUUAUGCAUAUUUAUGGCUUUAUAACGAUAAUCACGGAAGGCAGCGCUUGUAUAAUGAAUACCAGCACUGAUGAUAUAUGUUUAGUUUGACUCCGUUGCGACCGUUUAUAAUCUGAAAGUGGCCCAUCGUCGGCUUCUACCCCUUUGUAGAUGCUAUGCAGGGUAUUUCCGCAAUAACAAAACAACCCUUAGCCGACGUCUCGGUGCCCGGAGGCGGUUGUGCUAGCAGAAACAAGGCAAUCAGAUAUGCGGGCUUUAUAACUUUCACUUAGUCAUAGGAGCUUAAAGUUGGGAUGCCAGUUACGAGCCCCCGGUAGUGUUCAGCGACAGUCAAGGUCAAGUCAUAAACACUUCGGCCAAUGUUAUGAACGGACCUUCAUUUAACAUUGGGUGACCUCUAUCGAUCUUAUAGUUUAAUACAGUCAUCGGAUCGCUGACCAGCUUACGCUUAUUGUGACAGUCAGUUUUCGGCUUUCUCCACUGAGGUGCUUAACCAUGCUAGCUGGAAGCACAAUCGCAGUGGUUCUCCCUUUGCGCACCUAGCCGAACAAAGCGGAACGUAGGAGGCAAGCACAGGAGCCGGGCAACCCAACUAUUGACCGAAGACACAAUUCGAAACCGAUGCAUAUAAAGCGAUGAUGACCCACAAGUAUAGGGGAUCUAUCAUAGUCCUUUCGAUAAGUAAGAGUGUCGAACCCAACAAGGAGUAGAAGGAAAUGAUAAGCGGUUUUCAGCAAGGUAUUCUCUGCAAGCACUGAAAUUAUAGGUAACAGAUAGUUUUGUGAUAAGAUAAUUUGUAACGAGCAACAAGUAACAAAAGUAAAUAAAGUGCAGCAAGAUGGCCCAAUCCUUUUUGUAGCAAAGGACAAGCCUGGACAAACUCUUAUAUAGAGAAAAGCGCUCCCGAGGACACAUGGGAAUUAUCGUCAAGCUAGUUUUCAUCACGUUCAUAUGAUUCGCGUUCCGUACUUUGAUAAUUUGAUAUGUGGGUGGACCGGUGCUUGGGUGCCGCCCUUACUUGGACAAGCAUCCCACUUAUGAUUAACCCCUAUUGCAAGCAUCCACAACUACAAAACAAGUAUUAAGGUAAACCUAACCAUAGCAUGAAACAUAUGGAUCCAAAUCAGCCCCUUACGAAGCAACACAUAAACUAGGGUUUAAGCUUCUGUCACUCUAGCAACCCAUCAUCUACUUAUUACUUCCCAAUGCCUUCCUCUAGGCCCAAAUAAUGGUGAAGUGUCAUGUAGUCGACGUUCACAUAACACCACUAGAGGAGAGACAACAUACAUCUCAUCAAAAUAUCGAACGAAUACCAAAUUCACUUGACUACUAAUAGCAAGACUUCUCCCAUGUCCUCGGGAACAAACGUAACUACUCACAAAGCAUAUUCAUGUUCAUAAUCAGAGGAGUAUUAAUAUGCAUAUAGGAUCUGAACAUAUGAUCUUCCACCAAAUAAACCAACUAGCAUCAACUACAAGGAGUAAUCAACACUACUAGCAACCUACAGGUACCAAUCCCAGACUUAGAGACAAGAAUUGGAUACAAGAGAUGAACUAGGGUUUGAGAGGAGAUGGUGCUGGUGAAGAUGUUGAUGGAGAUUGCCCUCUCCCGAUGAGAGGAGCGUUCGUGAUGAAGAUGGCGAUGAUUUCCCCCUCCCGGAGGGAAGUGUCCCCGGCAGAACAGCUCUGCCGGAGCCCUAGAUUGGUUCCGCCAAGGUUCCGCCUCGUGGCGGCGGAGUCUCGUCCCGAAAGCUUGCUUGUGAUUUUUCUUCGGACGAAAGACUUCAUAUAGCAGAAGAUGGGCACCGGAGGGCCAACAGGGGGCCCACAAGGCAGGGGGCGCGCCCCCCACCCUCGUGGCCAGGGUGUGGGCCCCCUCUGGUAUUUCUUCCGCUCAGUAUUUUUUAUUAUUUCCAAAAAUAACUUUCGUGGAGUUUCAGGACUUUUGGAGUUAUGCAGAAUAGGUCUAUAAUAUUUGGUCCUUUUCCAGCCCAGAAUUCCAGCCGCCGCCAUUCUCCCUCCUUAUGUAAACCUUGUAAUAUAAGAGAGAAUAGGCAUAAGUAUUGUGACAUAAUGUGUAAUAACAGCCCAUAAUGCAAUAAAUAUCGAUAUAAAAGCAUGAUGCAAAAUGGACGUAUCAACUCCCCCAAGCUUAGACCUCGCUUGUCCUCAAGCGGAAGUCGAUAACGAUAAAUAUGUCCACAUUUUAGAGGUAGAGGUGUCGAUAAAAUAAAAUACGGACAUGAGGGCAUCAUGAUUAUUCUCAUAACAGCAACAUAUAUGGAUAUUGUCAUAUCAUCUCUUAUGCUCAAGUAAUAAUCUAUUCACAAUGCAAAGUAUGAAUCAGAAACUUUAUUGAGAACUAACAAACUAUAAUCUCAGUCAUUGAGGCAAUUGCAAUUUAUCAUAACAUCAGAAAGAGUGUAUGUCAGAGCUUUCUAGCAAGUCCACAUACUCAACUAUCAUUUAGUCUUUCAUAAUUGCUAACACUCAUGCAAUACUUGUGGUUACGGAGUUUUAAUCGGACACAGAGAAAGAUAGGGGCUUAUAGUUUCGCCUCCCAACCUUUUACCUCAAGGGUAAUGUCAACAAUAAUAAUUCAUGCUAACCCACAUCCAAUUAUAUAUAUAUAUAUAUCAGGAUCUUUCCAACAUCCUGUGCUUGCCAAAGGAUAAAAUGUAAAAAGGAAAGGUGAAAAUCAGCAUGACACUUGCAUAAGGUAGAAGAUAAUAAAAGAUAGGCCCUUCGCAGAGGGAAGCAGAGGUUGCCAUGCGCUUUCAGGGUUGGAUGCACAAAAUCUUAAUGCGAAAGAACAUCACUUUAUAUUGCCACUUGUGAUAUGAACCUUUAUUAUGUAGUCUGUCGCUUUUAUUUCUUCCACAUCACAAGAUCGUAUAAAGCUUAUUUCCUCCACACCAAUCAAUCAUACAUAUUUAGAGAGCAAUUUGUAUUGCUUGCACCGAUGACAACUUACUUGAAGGAUCUUACUCAAUCCAUAGGUAGAUAUGGUGGACUCUCAUGGAAAAACUGGGUUUAAGGGUUUUUGGAAGCACAAGUAGUAUCUCUAAUUGGUGCAAAGAAUUUGGCUAGCAUGAGGGGGAAAGGCAAGCUCAACAUGUUGGAUGAUCCAUGACAAUAUACUUUAUCUCAGAUAUAAGAAAACAUAACCCAUUACGUUGUCUUCCUUCUCCAACAUCAACUCUUUAGCAUGUCAUAUUUUAAUGAGUGCUCACAAUCAUAAAAGAUGUCCAAGAUAGUAUAUUUAUAUGUGAAACCUCUCUUUCUUUAUUACUUCCUAUUAAUUGCAACGAUGACCAAAGCUAUGUUUGUCAACUCUCAACAACUUAUAAUCAUCAUACUCUUUCUAUGUGAAGUCAUUACUCUCCAUAAAAUCAAUAUGAUCUCUUUGUUUCUUUUUAUUCUUUUCUCUUUCUUUUUUAUUCACUCAAGAUCAUGGAAAAAUAAUCAAGCCCUUGACUCAACACUAAUCUUUAUUAUAUAUAGCUCACGGACUCGAUUACAUAGAGGCAUCAUAAAGCAAAACUCAAAACUAGAUCAUACCAAAACUUUAUUCUACUAGAUCAAGAUAUUACUAAAAGGAUCGAACUAAGAAAAACGGUAAAGAUAGGAUAUGUGGUGGGGAUACGAUACCGGGGCAUGUCCCCCAAGCUUGGCAGUUGCCAAGGGGAGUGCCCAUACCCAUGUGAUUAUAUCUCCUUUGUUGAAGAGGACGGUGGUGGAGUUGUUGAUGAUGUGGGUUUGUCAUCCAUCUUCCAAGGCAUAGGCUCACCAUCAUAGAAGGAUGAUCGAGUCUCCGGGAUCCUCAAAUCUGCAGCCAAACUCAUCCUCUUGAAUCUAUAUUCAUACUCACAGUUUUGGUUUUGCAGGUCAUAGAUUUGGGCUUGGAGGUGCUCGAUCUUCUCGUGAAGCUUGAAGAUGGUAUCCCCAAUGUUCUGGGCAUCCAGGUUGUGGUUGUUGGUGAACUCCGCGAUCAUCAUGUGGUUGGAGUUGAGUCCAUGUUCCACCAUCCCCUGGCACUUGAAAACUUGUUGCUCCAUUGCUUCGAGCCUCGUCUCCACACUUCCGGUCCCCUUUGGUCCCUCAACAUCGCGGAUGUGCAGCAACCCAUCACGCAUCUCAAUGGUUUGAGGGUGUCGCAGCACCUCCGCGAGGUAAGGGUUGAUGACCUUCUCGAAGAACUUGUCCUUGGGGGCGCUUGGAGAUGUCAUGAUGAUCUAGAUCUGUCAGAAAAACAGCUCGAAACAAAAACAGAGGAUAAUUGCGUGAUACAGGAGUCAAAACUUUCGGGAGAUUAUAUAAUGAAUUUUUAUCGACCAAGAUACGUAUCGUGCAAGAAAACGGAGUCCGGAGAAUGCACGAGGUGCCCACGAGGCAGGGGGCGCGCCCUCCACCCUCGUGGAGGCCUCGUGUCCUUCCCGGACUGCUUCUUAUUUUUCUAUUUUUCUAAAUAUUCCAAAACAGAGAAAAAUUGCCUUUAGAACUGUUUUGGAGUCGGUUUACUUACCGUACCACAUACCUAUUCCUUUUCAGAGUCUGAAGUGUUCCGGAAAGUGUCCCUUAUGUAUUCCUCCGGGGUUACGGUUUCAAUAACAUUGGUUUCAACAUUUAUAGGAUUACCUGAGAUAUAAUGUUUGAUUCUUUGACCGUUCACCACCUUCGGAUUUGUGCCUUCGAAGUUGUUGAUUUUUAUGGCACCGGAACGAUAGACCUCCUCGAUAACGUAAGGGCCUUCCCAUUUAGAGAGAAGUUUUCCUGCAAAAAAUCUUAAACGAGAGUUGUAUAGCAAUACAUAAUCACCUACAUUAAACUCACGCUUUUGUAUCCUUUUGUCAUGCCAUCUUUUAACUUUUUCUUUAAACAACUUGGCAUUUUCAUAAGCUUGGGUUCUCCAUUCAUCAAGUGAGCUAAUGUCAAAUAACCUCUUCUCACCGGCAAGUUUGAAAUCAUAAUUGAGCUCUUUAAUAGCCCAAUAUGCCUUAUGUUCUAGUUCGAGAGGUAAGUGACAUGCUUUUCCAUAAACCAUUUUAUACGGAGACAUACCCAUAGGAUUUUUAUACGCAGUUCUAUAGGCCCAUAAUGCAUCAUCCAGUUUCUUGGACCAAUUCUUUCUAGAUCUAUUAACAGUCUUUUGCAAAAUUAAUUUGAGUUCUCUAUUACUAAAUUCUACUUGACCACUAGACUGUGGGUGAUAAGGAGAUGCAAUUCUAUGAUUAACAUCAUACUUAGCAAGCAUUUUACGAAAAGCACCAUGAAUAAAAUGUGAACCACCAUCAGUCAUUAAAUAUCUAGGGACUCCAAACCUCAGAAAAAUAACUUAUUUAAGCAUCUUAAUAGAAGUGUUAUGAUGAGCACUACUAGUUGGAAUAGCUUCUACCCACUUAGUAACGUAAUCAACAACAACUAAAAUAUGUGUGUAUCCAUUAGAGGCAGGAAAAGGUCCCAUAUAAUCAAAGCCCCAAACAUCAAAUGGUUCAAUAACAAGUGAAUAAUUCAUAGGCAUUUCUUGACGUCUACUAAUAUUACCAAUUCUUUGACAUUCAUCACAAGAUAAAACAAACUUACGGGCAUCCUUGAAGAGAGUAGGCCAAUAAAAACCGGAUUGCAAUACCUUAUGUGCAGUUCUGUCUCCAGCGUGGUGUCCUCCAUAAGCCUCGGAGUGACACUUGCAUAGGAUCUGUUCCUGUUCAUGCUCAGGUACACAACGUCUAAUAACACCAUCUACUCCUUCUUUAUAAAGAUGUGGGUCAUCCCAGAAGUAAUGUCUUAAAUCAUAGAAAAACUUUUUCUUUUGUUGGUAUGUGAAACUAGGUGGUAUGAAUUUAGCAAUGAUGUAAUUAGCAUAAUCAGCAUUCCAUGGAGUAGUACGAGAAGCAUUUAUGACAUUUAAUUGUUCAUCAGGAAAGCUAUCAUCAAUAGGUAGUGGGUCAUCAAGAACAUUUUCUAACCUAGACAAGUUGUCUGCAACGGGGUUCUCAGCUCCCUUUCUAUCAAUAAUAUGCAAAUCAAAUUCUUGUAACAAGAGAACCCAUCUAAUAAGUCUAGGUUUAGCAUCUUUCUUUUCCAUAAGAUAUUUAAGAGCAGCAUGAUCAGUGUGAAUAGUUACUUUAGAAUCAACAAUAUAAGGCCUGAACUUAUCACAAGCAAAUACAACUGCUAAGAAUUCUUUUUCAGUAGUAGCAUAAUUUCUCUGAGCAUUGUCUAGAGUUUUACUAGCAUAUUGAAUAACAUUUAAUUUCUUAUCAACUCUUUGCCCUAGAACAGCACCUACAGCAUAAUCACUAGCAUCACACAUAAUUUCAAAGGGUAAAUUCCAAUUAGGUUGUUGAACAAUAGGUGCAGAGAUCAAUGCUUUCUUAAGUAUUUCAAAUGCUUCUACACAAUCAUCAUCAAAGACAAAUGGUAUAUCUUUUCUAAUAAAUUAGUCAGAGGCCGAGAAAUUUUUGAGAAGUCCUUAAUGAACCUCCUAUAAAAACCGGCAUGACCAAGGAAACUUCUUAUACCUUUGAUGUCCUUGGGACAUGGCAUCUUUUCAAUAGCAUCAACCUUGGCUUUAUCAACUUCAAUACCUCUUUCGGAAACUUUAUGCCCCAGGACAAUACCUUCAUUAACCAUAAAGUGGCACGUUUACCAAUUCAAGACAAGAUUAGUUUCUUCACAUCUCUGCAAAACUCGAUCAAGGUUGCUCAAGCAAUCAUCAAAAGAGGAUCCAUAAAUGGAGAAACCAUCCAUGAAAACCUCACAUAUCUUUUCACAAAAUUCAGAGAAUAUAGCCAUCAUGCAUCUUUGAAAGGUAGCAGGUGCAUUACAUAAACCAAAACGCAUACGUCUAUAAGCAAAAGUACCGAAAGGGCAAGUAAAAGUGGUCUUUGAUUGAUCAUCGGCUGACACAGGUAUUUGAGAGAAACCAGAAUAACCAUCUAGAAAGCAAAAAUGUGUAUGUUUGGAUAAUAUUUCUAGCAUUUGAUCAAUAAAAGGUAAGGAGUAAUGAUCCUUUUUAGUAGCCUUAUUUAAUUUGCGGAAAUCAAUUACCAUUCUAUAACCUGUAAUAAUUCUUUGCGGAAUCAAUUCAUCUUUAUCAUUAGGAACGACAGUAAUACCUCCCUUCUAAGGGACACAAUGGACAGGACUUACCCACUGACUAUCAGCAAUGGGAUAAAUUAUACCUGCCUCAAGGAGCUUUAGUAUUUCCUUUCUUACCACUUCUUUCAUCUUAGGGUUCAACCAUCGUUGGUGAUCAUGAACUGGUUUGGCAUCUUUCUCCAAAUUUAUUUUGUGUUGACAUAGAGUGGGACUAAUGCCCUUAAGAUCAUCAAGAGUAUAUCCAAUAGCAGCACGGUGCUUCUUCAGAGUUUUCAAUAAUCUCUCUUCUUCAUGCUCUGAAAGGUUAGCACUAAUAAUAACAGGAUAUAUCUUUUUCUCAUCAAGAUAAGCAUAUUUAAGGGUAUCAGGUAACGGUUUAAGCUCAAACACGGGAUCACCCUUGGGUGGAGGAGGAUCCCCUAGGAUUUCAACAGAAAAAUUGUGUUUCGGGAUGGGUUCCUGUUUAAAGAAUACUUCAUCAAUUUCCCUUCUUUCAUUCAUAAACAUAUCAUUUUCAUGGUCUAGCAAAUAUUGUUCUAAAGGAUCACUAGGAGGUAUGGCAAUAGAAGCAAGACCAAUAAUUUCAUCCUUACUAGGCAAUUCCUCUUCACGGUGUUGUCUACAAAAUUUAGAAAAAUUAAACUCAUGAGACAUAUCACCCAAACCAAUAGUAACAAUAUCCUUUUCGCAGUCUAUCUUAGCAUUAACAGUGUUCAAGAAGGGUCUACCAAAUAUAAUGAGACAAAAGCUAUCUUGUGGGGAACCGAGAGCAAGAAAAUCAGCAGGAUAUUUAGUUUUCCCACACAAGACUUCAACAUCUCUAACAAUUCCAAUGGGUGAUAUGGUAUCUCUAUUGGCAAGCUUAAUGGUAACAUCAAUAUCUUCUAUCUCAGCAGGUGCAAUAUCAUGCAUAAUUUCUUUGUAUAAGUCAUGAGGUAUAGCACUAGCACUGGCACCCAUAUCACAUAAGCCAUGAUAACAAUGAUCUCCUAUUUUAACAGAAAUAACAGGCAUGCCUACCACAGGUCUAUGUUUAUCUUUAGCACAAGGUUUAGCAAUUCUAGCAGUUUCAUCACAGAAAUAAAUAACAUGCCCAUCAAUAUUAUCAGCCAAGAGAUCUUUAACAAUAGCAAUAUUAGGUUCAACUUUAACUUGCUCAGGAGGUGUAUAGGUUCUAAUAUUGCUUUUACGAACCACAGUUGAAGCUUUAGCAUGAUCCUUUAUUCUAACAGGGAAAGGUGGUUUUUCAACAUACGCAGUAGGAACAAUAGGAUCAUUAUAAGUGAUAGUCUUUUCUUCAACUUUAAUAGGUGCAGCUACUUUUACUUCUAUGGGAGGAUGAUAUUUAAACCACUUCUGCUUAGGGAGAUCAACAUGAGUAGCAAAUGAUUCACAGAAAGAAGCUACUAUCUCAGAGUCAAGUCCAUAUUUAGUGCUAAAUUUACGGAAAACAUCGGUAUCCAUAAAAGAUUUAACACAAUCAAACUUAGGUGUCAUACCUGACUCCUUACCUUCGUCGAGAUCCCAAUUUUCAGAGUUGCAUUUAAUUCUUUCCAAUAAAUCACAUUAUAAUUCAAUAGUCUUCAUCGUAAAAGAGCCAGCACAAGAAGUAUCGAGCAUGGUGCGAUUGUUAUCAGAAAGCGGAGCAUAAAAAUUUUGAAUAAUUAUUUCUCUUGGAAGCUCAUGAUUGGGGCAUGAAUAUUACAUCGAUUUAAGCCUCCCCCAAGCUUGAGCGAUGCUUUCUCCUUCGCGAGGCCAGAAAUUAUAUAUAUAAUUAUGAUCACGAUGAACAAGAUGCAUAGGAUAAAACUUCUGAUGAAAUUCUAAUUUUAAUUGUUUGUAGUUCCAUGAUCCCAUAUCAUCACAUAGCCUAUACCAUGUCAAUGCAUCUCCCUUCAAAGAUAAAGGGAAGACCUUCUUCUUAAUAACAUCAUCGGGCACACCUGCAAGCUUAAAUAAUCCACAAACUUCAUCCACAUAUAUUAGGUGCUCAUCAGGAUGCAUUGUUCCAUCUCCUGCAAAAGGAUUAGCUAGCAGUUUUUCUAUCAUACCCGAAGGAAUCUCAAAGUAGACAUUUUCAUUUUCAGUAGGUUCAGUAGGUUGAGGAGCAACUCUUUGCUCUACUGGUCGGGGUGAAGAUACCCCGAACAAGCCCCUCAGAGGAUUACUUUCCAUAGUAACAAGUGACGGUAAAUUUCAGCACACUAUAUAAAAAAAUUUCUUACCAAAUUCCACCUACCAAAGGCGCUUCACUCCAUGGCAACGGCGCCAGAAAAGAGUCUUGAUGACCCACAAGUAUAGGGGAUAUAUCGUAGUCCUUUCGAUAAGUAAGAGUGUCGAACCCAACGAGGAGCAGAAGGAAAUGAUAAGCGGUUUUCAGCAAGGUAUUCUCUGCAAGCACUGAAAUUAUAGGUAACAGAUAGUUUUGUGAUAAGAUAAUUUGUAACGAGCAACAAGUAACAAAAGUAAAUAAAGUGCAGCAAGAUGGCCCAAUCCUUUUUGUAGCAAAGGACAAGCCUGGACAAACUCUUCUAUAGAGAAAAGCGCUCCCGAGAACACAUGAGAAUUAUCGUCAAGCUAGUUUUCAUCACGUUCAUAUGAUUCGCGUUCCGUAUUUUGAUAAUUUGAUAUGUGGGUGGACCGGUGCUUGAGUGCUGCCCUUACUUGGACAAGCAUCCCACUUAUGAUUAACCCCUAUUGCAAGCAUCCGCAACUACAAAAGAAGUAUUAAGGUAAACCUAACCAUAGCAUGAAACAUAUGGAUCCAAAUCAGCCCCUUACGAAGCAACGCAUAAACUAGGGUUUAAGCUUCUGUCACUCUAGCAACCCAUCAUCUACUUAUUACUUCCCAAUGCCUUCCUCUAGGCCCAAAUAAUGGUGAAGUGUCAUGUAGUCGACGUUCACAUAACACCACUAGAGGAGAGACAACAUACAUCUCAUCAAAAUAUCGAACGAAUACCAAAUUCACUUGACUACUAAUAGCAAGACUUCUCCCAUGUCCUCAAGAACAAACGUAACUACUCACAAAGCAUAUUCAUGUUCAUAAUCGGAGGAGUAUUAAUAUGCAUAUAGGAUCUGAACAUAUGAUCUUCCACCAAAUAAACCAACUAGCAUCAACUACAAGGAGUAAUCAACACUACUAGCAACCUACAGGUACCAAUCCCAGACUUAGAGACAAGAAUUGGAUACAAGAGAUGAACUAGGGUUUGAGAGGAGAUGGUGCUGGUGAAGAUGUUGAUGGAGAUUGCCCUCUCCCGAUGAGAGGAGCGUUGGUGAUGAAGAUGGCGAUGAUUUCCCCCUCCCGGAGGGAAGUGUCCCCGGCAGAACAGCUCUGCCGGAGCCCUAGAUUGGUUCCGCCAAGGUUCUGCCUCAUGGCGGCGGAGUCUCGUCCCGAAAGCUUGCUUGUGAUUUUUCUUCGGACGAAAGACUUCAUAUAGCAGAAGAUGGGCACUGGAGGGCCAACAGGGGGCCCACGAGGCAGGGGGCGCCCAGGGGGUAGGGCGCGCCCCCCACCCUCGUGGCCAGGGUGUGGGCCCCCUCUGGUAUUUCUUCCACUCAGUAUUUUUUAUUAUUUCGAAAAAUAACUUUCGUGGAGUUUCAGUACUUUAUGAGUUAUGCAGAAUAGGUCUCUAAUAUUUGCUCCUUUUCCAGCCCAGAAUUCCAGCUGCCGGCAUUCUCCCUCCUUAUGUAAACCUUGUAAAAUAAGAGAGAAUAGGCAUAAGUAUCGUGACAUAAUGUGUAAUAACAGCCCAUAAUGCAAUAAAUAUUGAUAUAAAAGCAUGAUGCAAAAUGGACGUAUCAAGCGAUAUCCGAGAAUGUUUUUGCCGAACCUCUAAAGGUGUCCGGCAUUGCACUUCGAGACUUAUGCUGGAAACACACAAAUAAUUUAAAAAUUACAUAGGCUUGGAAAACCAAAAACCUUCAGUAAAAACUUUAUGCCCGAACUAAAUCAAGUCAUUUGGUGCCAAUCCGAAAAUUGGUCUUACUUUUGUGCUUCUGUCGUGCAUUAAUAUGACACAUCCGAUCUCAAGACUUCAAGCGGGUCAGCCUACGGCUGCAACUUCCUAUCCCGAAGGCGGAGUACUGCUCUUUAAGCCAGUUUAGCGAACUAAACUCGAGCGGCAUUAGAGAGAAAACAGGCUAUCCGGCUAUUGACCACACACUCGAGUCGAGAAACGAGUGAUAGAAAAAGACUUUGCAACGACUAAGAAGAAAACACUUAUUAUAAAACGGCUCAUGUAAAUUUUAAGAGCCCCCGAGUGACUUGGGUAAAAGAAUUUUAUGUAUAACGAUUGUAUGUACCGAAGUACUUAUAUUAUAUUUGUGUUCACCCAAACUUUAAACGCGUCUUAACUGACCGUCGGCUUCUCCCUCUUCGGUCAAGGACCGAAAAGUGUUAUGUACUCCACCUGUCAAGAAUAUCGACGGUGUUUCCGAUAACCAUGCAAUCAGGCCAUAAGGCUAUAACAGACAAAGCGCGCUCAGGGAACUUAUGCUAUAUUACUGACAAAGUGUAAGAAGCAUGUUCGAAGAAAAUAGUACCCCCACCGAUACCUUUCUUCGGUUGCUCAUUGUUACUAUGAGACUUGUGCAAUAGAUUUUUUGUACUCAUGAGUUCCGUUGUGUGCCGACCAUGAUUGAAAACAAUAAGAGCGCUAGCUUUCGGCUUCAACCAGUCUGAGGUCCGAGCUCGGAUGACCCGAUCGUGACAACCGCAAAGGUGCUCCCUUUACUCCCUAGCCGAACAAUCGGGAACAUAGGGGUAAACACAGGAGCAAGGCAACCCAGCUUGCGGAACACUUAAGUCAACAUGGUGCAUAUUGUGGCGUAAUACACGAACAUGGAAUGAAGCCAUAUAAAUAUAAUCAUAUGCAAGAGGAAAGGCUUCAUAAAGGAAGCCCCCAAGUAAACGGGGUAUUUGAAUUUGUGUGUCACAAACAAAGUUUUGACAAGGAAGUUUUUCACAUACAACUUUUUGUUAAAAAAAGUAUAAUGCUUUGUUCGAACCGAAAAAAAAUUAAAAUUGAAAAUUCUUAGCAUGAAAGCGACUUAGCUGGUUAAUGUGCUCGGUGUCGAUGCACGGCCUGAGCUUACGGCGGGACAAGGUCCCAGCCCCCAAGCCGGUCUCGAGGUGGCGGAGCGAAGAGCUCGGCACCCCGAAGUGGCGACAUAGCACGGCCAAUGCAGGCCGGUAGUGUGAUGCCGAAGUCCCCGGCGUGGGUUAAUGAAGUGAUGACGAAGCCCUCGGUCCAACCGAGGUGACGUGGUACAUCGGUACACCGAGGUGACAGCGCUGCCCGACCCGGAUCAUUUACCUAUGCACAGAAAUAGUGCAAGCCAGAGAUAAUAGGAAUAAUAAUAAUAAUGUUGCAUAAUUAAUAAUUUAUGCAAAGUGAGUAAUAAAAGAAAUAUGGCAUGUGUGCCGAACACUCGAUGAGGUAGAACCCUCUUGAUGAUGCCGAAGUCCCCGAGGCAACCGAACAUGUCGGUAUGGCAAUUCGAUCAACAAGGUGAUCAUGCGAGCCGAUUUAUGCCAAUUGGGACGAUGACGUUGGCUUGCCGAAGUGACCGUGUGACGCAGUCGAAGUCGAUCGCUGAACCACCAUGCAACUGUCAUUAAUGCGGCCACCAUUUGACAGACCUGUGUACAGAUGAUGGAACAAACCAGAGUAAUAAUCCCUCAGGAAAAAUAAAACCAAGCAAGAAAAAAUUACUAGGAUUAAUAGCACCUGGUUUAUCUGUUGUAGCAAUCUGAAGAAAGGUUAUUCCCAAAAUUGGGACUUGAUCCGCACACCCAUUGCAUGAUGGGCGAUGAAGCGACGGCAUGAUGAUGCGGGCAAAGGUUGGCUCGCCGAGGCAAAGCCCCCGGUCCAGCUAACAUGACGAAGCUGGUCGGCUGGUGACGUCGAAGUCACCGGAGUAUGUUGAUGAAGAAAUAGCAAAGUCCCCGGUCUAGCCGAGGUGUCGAAGCCUCCAUGUCAGCCGAUGAGUCGAAGCAGGUCGGGUGGUGACGCCGAAGUCACCGGAGUAGGUUUGAUGAAGAUAUGGUGAAGCCCCCUGUCUAGGCCGAGGUAACGGAACGGGUCGGUAAGGAGAUGUUGCAGCUGCCAUGUCAGCCGAGGUGUUGAAGCAGCUCGGCAUGAUGGACCUCAGCUUAAAGAAGUAACAGUGCGGCCAUGCCGACGCUGGUCAUAACUUGUGACGCAGUCAAAGCCAGAUUGAUGAAGUGACCGAGCGGCGAUGUCGGUGCGCCUGACCCGUGCAAUCCGUGGGGUGAUGGUGUUGGUGAUAAUUUAGUCUUCGCAAUACCGAACUCCUGUUCGGCUUGCCAAGCUGAUGAUCUGAUAAGGUUGGGCUCGGCUCGAUGAAGCGACGAUCUGUCUAGCGCAGGUUAGCAGACAUGGGGUAAGGGCUGGUUUGACACCGGCGUGACAGUGAAGAUUACCUCCGAAAAGGAGCAAAAUUUAUGAGCAUGUGUUCGAAAACCAAACACAAUACCCUAUAAGAGAUUCUUCCAAAAAGGUUGUUCAAUAUCCCGUUCAUCAAGAAAGAUGAAUUCAGGUCGGAUUCGUAUUCGUGCAGAAAACAGAUCCGAAAAGUGAUGCACUAAUCGGAAGGUUCCCGGAGUUUGGACGGUCGGAUCGAGCUGGAAUUUUGAGAGGUGGUAGAUAUAGGAAUUCCGCAGCCGAUCAACGGUUGGAUCUUCCAAAGGAUGUCCGAGCUAGACGCUGGACACCACGCUCCAAACUCGUCCAGAGUCCCGUCCAGACUCGACAGGGCUCCGGUGUAUCGGAGAUCGCUGGAGAUUCCUCCAUCGAAACUCAACGAAAUUUUGCAUGGUUGUUGUAGAAUUAAUUCCGCACAAUUCCACCGAAGGAAUCGUCAAAGCGAUGCUCGAGGAGGUGGUGGCAGCGGAUACAAGUUUGUUGUCCAGCAAAACAGCACGGUCGCUCAAAGGCAAUGUUGACGUUGAGCCCCCCGAGCUCCAUGGAUGAUUCCUCCAUGAUCAUGAUAGAGAUCGGAGUUGAUGUUGAUGAAGGCCCUCAUCCGAACAUGACGAUCGGAGGUAGGGCGCAGUCCUCGGUCAAGCCAAGGUGACCAAUCAAGCCGGUGAAGAAGAUGCCACCACCAGGGUCGCCGCCCUGGCAUCCAAGACCUGGACACCACCUCACUCGAGACCCACCGCUACCCAAACCAAAUAUACGAGCGAGAAGGACCCGCCUUUCACACCCCUGGGCUGCCCCCAACGUCGAAACCCAAUAGAUCGUCCAAAACUGGCCUCCAUCGACCCGUCCUGCGGCACCGGGCGUGAAACGAGCAUGGUCCUGCUGCCGGGCACGAGACGAGGCCGGUCCUGCUACCGGGCGCGAGACAAGCUCGGUCCUGCUGGCGAGCGCGAGACGAGCGAUGGACCGUAGUUGGGGGAGGGCCGAACCUUCGACGAAGGCAGCAACCAAAUGACGAAGAGAGGACCGGAGGUCGAAACGGGCCGCCUACAGACGAGCCGACGCCGAAACGCCAGCCGCCGGCCCGCCGAGCUGCCGUGAUGCCGGCACGGCGAAGCCACCUCGCCGCCCACAGUCGGAGCCACCGCUACGCCGGGCCGGAGCCCCAAACCCGCGCCGCCCACCGGAAAAAGAGCGACAAAUCCGGCAGGCACGCAUCACCACCAUGCCGCCGCCGACGAGCGCACUAGCCCCCGCGCGCCGCCUGCUGGCCACCAACCAGAGCACCCGCCAGAUACAGAUCUGGCGAGGACACCCGCAGCCGCCACCCGUGUAGGCACGCCCCACCGCGCCCCCGAAGAGCAGUCGCCCGCGCUGCCAACCUAGACCACCGCCGCCGUGCCGCCCUGGCCGCCGUCACGCCGUCCUGCAGAACCGCAUGCCUCCGCGCCAUGUUGUCGUCCCGCACCGGCCCACUGCGAGGAAGGGGAAGAUGCCCCGCCGCCACCGACACCGGCCGGGCUUUGCCCGGUGGCGCGUUCCGGUGGCGGCGGGGAGGGGGGAGGGAAGGAGGCUGGAGGAGAUGCGCUAGGGUUCGCCUCGCCGCUCGCGGGAGCGAACGAGACAAGACCAGUUUGUAUGUAUUAUCCGCAACCCACUCUACACCAUUGAAUAACAACAACUAAUAGAAUAUUUAUCUCAUGUACUCAUGAGUACUUUUUCUCUCUCAAAUACGCACGAUUGUGUGUACUAUAUAUUAUAGGAGGGGUAAAGAGCCCUCAUACAACCGUUUGCUAGAAGAAAAGUCUUCUGUGUAUAUAUGAAAAACAGCUACUGGUCCAUUUUGGUAGUGCAUCUAUCUAAGCAUGAUAUUUGUUUUAAUCCAAGUGACAUGUUCCCGUUGAGAUAAAAAUUAUUUUCUAUUAUUCUAUAAAAAGUUCAUAUGUAUUUAGGAAAUAUUCAUCUUGUUUUAAAAAUUAUCCAUUGUGCAUUUAAAAAAAUUGAAUGUGUGUUUAGCUUUUAUUUCAAGUUAUUAGAAAUUUUCAAGUUACUAAAAAUGUCACAUACUCUAACUAAAAUACUCAUGCUACUUAAAACCAACAUUCAUGCUGUUAAAACGUUUCACACAGUUUACAAAAAGUUUCACACUAUUUUACAACAAUAUACGCAUAUGUUAAACGAAAUGUUCACGCUAUUUAAAAAAACAUGCUGUUUUGAAAAUAAUAACCGUUUUCCAAAAUGUUUACCCUAUUAAAAAAAUCUCGCUCUGUUUACAAAAAUUAUCACGGUAUCUUAGAAAACAAUACGAACUUAAAAUAAAAUUUCCAUGCUACUAAAAAAAGUUCAGGUUGUUUACAAAAAUCACUACAUUGUUUUUACAAUAACAAAAAAGGGUGUAUCUUACACUGUGGAGUAAAGAAAUAAAAGUGAAAAUAUAAAUAUUAUAGAAAGAAAGGAAAAAAUAAAUUAAAUUAAACCACAAAGGUAGAAAGUGGAAAUGGAAAAAGAAACAGAAAACAUUAAAGAAAAGGAAAAGAAGUAAAGAAACGAAACUAGAAAAAAUGAUUAAAAAAACAUCGAAACCCGGAGAAAAGUAUAAAAAAUACACUAAAUCAGGACUGAACCAAAGAAAACCGACCAGACAAAUGCAAUAAAACCAGAACCAAAGAAACCAGAGAAAAAGGAAAACCGCUCUGCCUUGGUACUCGGCUGCGGCCCACGUCGGAAGCGCCUGAGGCGAGCACUAGCUCUAACUCGCAGUACGCAAGAUAUAGAUUCAGCGUUAUACAAGUACUUUUGUCAAAAAAAAAGGUUAUACAAGGACCCAUAGUAUUUUUUUAUUCCAUAAAAAAUAGAUACAUAAAUGGGAUAUUUUUUUACCAGGUCCGUUCAAAUUAUCCAUCAUAAGAGCAUCUCUAGCAGCCCCGCAUCCCGCCCCGACCCGCAAAAUAACCGCCAAAAUACGGUUCGGGGCGGGAAAACCUGCCCGAUCAGACACCGCAUUCGCGGCCAACCCGUAAUUUUUUUUGCGGGGCACGGCAAAAGAUCUCCCCCGACCUCUAGAUUCACGGGGUGGGAGGACGAACCGAGCUCGGCCUCUAUCCGCAGCGGGAUUUGGCGGGAGGGACAUUUUCGCGCGGCCGUNNNNNNNNNNNNNNNNNNNNNNNNNNNNNNNNNNNNNNNNNNNNNNNNNNNNNNNNNNNNNNNNNNNNNNNNNNNNNNNNNNNNNNNNNNNNNNNNNNNNNNNNNNNNNNNNNNNNNNNNNNNNNNNNNNNNNNNNNNNNNNNNNNNNNNNNNNNNNNNNNNNNNNNNNNNNNNNNNNNNNNNNNNNNNNNNNNNNNNNNNNNNNNNNNNNNNNNNNNNNNNNNNNNNNNNNNNNNNNNNNCACACAAACACACACACACUCCGCCACCAUUGCCCUGCCACCUCCCGCUCCGGUGCAUCUUCCCCAGCCGUCCUUCGCCGCCAUGGAUGACUACCUGCUGUCCCCCGUCGCCCUCGAGGUCGCGUACGCUCAAUCCCCUCAGGCGGAUCUCGUCGCCGGCCAUGUUGGCACCAUUGCGCCUGCCCGCAAGCGGCAGGGCAACGUGGUCGUGCAGGGCGGGAAUCCGGCUGCCCCCGCCGCGAAGGCCCGCGCUCCGGUCGGCAACGCCGCUGCGCGAUCCCGGCCGGCGGCGGAGAAGGUUGCCAAGGCAUCCGGCGUAAAGCGCAAGAGGAUUCCGGCUACAAAGAAGCCGGCUCCUUCAUCCACUCCCUCCGCCUCGGAAAGAGGUUUCCCGGCGAUGCCGCUCAAUGGUGCUGCUCCCACCGCAGGCGAGGUGUUUGACGAAAUGGCCGGAAGGUAUGCGUCUUCGGUCAUGGCAAUUUCCUUUGCUUUUCGUCAUUUGCGAUAGCUCGUGACUUGUUGUCGUUCACUAUAGCGGUGGUUCGAACAAUGCAACUGCCGAGUUCGUGAGCUUGCUGGACACCAACACCGUUGACAUCGAUCAAGCCCCAUUCGUCACAUUCGAUUACAAUGAAACGGAGGGCGGUGUGGAUGAUCAUGGUGGCGAGGAAGAAGUGGAGGAGAUCGAUGAGGGGGCGUAUGAGCAAUCGCAGACAAAAAGUGGAAAAUGCCAGAGAUCAAAGAACUACACGAUCUUGGAAGAUCAAAUCUUGAUCCAGGCAUGGAGGACGGUGUCUCUUGAUACAUGCACGAGUACUUCUCAAACCGCCAAGAGGUAUUGGCAAAGGAUCGAAUAUCAAUACUUCCGCAUGAUGGCAAAGUAUCCCAAUAGGACUUCACGCACCUUUCGGUCGCUUCAAGGGCGUUGGGAUGUGAUCAAGCCUAUUUGCAGCCGUUGGGCAGCUUGCUUGGAGCAAGUACGCAAUGCAGCGCCAAGUGGAACCGUGGAAUCCGACUAUGUGAGUUCGUUUUGACUUUGUUCAAGUUGUGCACAGCAUAUUGCAUCAUAUGAAAUGAGCAUCAUUUGACUUUGUUCAAAUUGUGUAGGACAAAAUUGCCCAACAUAGAUACAAAGACAUGGAAGCUUUGGAAGGCAAAUUCUUCAAACUUCAGCAUUGUUGGGACUUGCUCAAAGAGUGCGAGAAGUGGAAGUUGAUUGACAAAGAAUCCCCACCGAAGAGAGGUUCACUUACAAACAUGGAUGAAGAUGAGGAUGAUGAUGGCCCAAGAAACUUGAACAAGCCCGAUGGCGGCAAGAAGACUAAGGAGAAGAUGAAGAGAGAGCACGAAGAAUCGAGCUUAAGGGAGAAGAUUGAUGUCAUGGUGCAAUCAAAUGAGUUGAUGUUAUUGAAGUCGUUGGAGAUCAAGAAAGAGUUGGCCGAGAAGAAGGCAAGGGAGAAGCAAGAAAAAUGGCAAUUGCUCAAGGAAGAGGGGCUGCGCAAAGCGGCCAUUGAGGAGAGAAGAGCACGUGCCACUGAAAAAACAAAGCCAUGUCCAAGUCGCUCGCCGAAGAGAACAAGAUCAUGACAAUGAAGCGCAAUGACAUGGACGACCUCACCAAAGAAUGGCAUGAUAUGGCAAGAAGAGAAAUCUUGAAGAGGAGAAUGGUUGCGUCGGCCAGUGCGUGUUACAGUGCCGGAGAUGUUUUCUCGGCGGGUUUUGGAACCAAUGUCGAUGAUUUCGGCGGGGGUUGGAACAAGCGCCGGAGGUGGAUUCAGUGGUUCCGAUGAACUCCAUGGACUCGAUGGCGCGGAGUGAAUAUCGACCAAGAUGAUGUCGGACGUGGUCGUCACUUUUGCAAGACCCUCUUUUGCGUUUGUCCUACAAAACCUAAGCUUUUAUUUGCGCGUGAACUGUGUUCUAUAUUUGACUUUGAACUUAUUUGUCGGAACCGAUGCCAAAUUCGAUAAUUGGGUGUCUUUGGUUUGCAGGUCGACGCGGCGGUGCCCGAGCAGACCCCGCGUAGCCGACCCGUAAAAGAGCAUAUUCGCCGAAUAUUCUUUUUUACGGGUCCAUUUUGCGGGGUCUGGGUGUCGGUGUCAAAACCGGCAUAUCUCGGGUAGGGGGUCCCAAGCUGAGCGUCAUGGAUCGAUGGGUAACAGGAGACAGGGGACACGAUGUUUACGCAGGUUCGGGCCCUCUUAAUGGAGGUAAUACCCUACUUCCUGCUUGAUUGAUCUUGAUGAAUAUAGAGAUUAUAAGAGUUGAUCUACCUCGAGAUCAUAUGUUGUGGUCUAAACCCUAGAAGUAUGAUGAGUAAUGUCAUAAUGAUCUAUCCACUAGCCUGGCCUCGGCUUAUAUAACAUACCAGAGGCCUAGGACAACAAGAGUCCUAGUCGAAUACGCCGGUGGAGAGGAGUCCUUGUCUUGAUCACCAAGUCUUGUGGAAUCUUCCUCGUAUAUGCAUCGGCUGUCCGAACUGGCCCAUGAGUAAACGGCCACGGGGGUUUUCGGCCCAAUCCAACUGAUCGGGAGACGACGUGGUGAGUAUCCCUAGUCCAGGACACCGUCACUGGGUCUCACCUCGCCCGCGCCGGCCUGCAUACACACUUUUCCCCGAACUGCAAAACACUUAUGCGAGUUGGGAUUUUACGGGGUCUGCUAGAGUUGCUCUAAUAGUCUUUUCACUUCUCUCUCUAGAAAAAACAGCCUUUACCGGCCCAAUAUAGCAAUUUCUGUCAUGAGUUCAAAAAAUUCCAAAAUGCAAGUGGGUUUCUACGUAUUGCCAUGUUUUCAGGUACAAUGAGUUAAUUUCUGAUAGCUGAAGCCAGUUUGAUCAUGUUUUGCAGCGUGAUUGUACUCGUAUGCCGAUGACCAGAAGAAUUUGCGUAGGGCGAAAACGUGCGAGGCAGGGUGUUUGUUACUGAGUUGACCAUGACGGUUUGCGGUUCUUUCCAGUUCUUAGGUGUUGUGCAGCAUGGCCAUAUAGUUGAUGGUACUUCUUUUCUUUGCGGGUAUAUAGUUGAUGGUACUAUGGUAGAGUAGUUUGGGCAGACCGUGGCCCUGAUGUUUAAGUGUUGUGGAGGGUUUUUUUUGCAGGGAAAUUGUUCGAAUUCGAUUUUGUUUCAUUUCAGUGAAACCGGGAGCGCCGAAGCUCGUAGAUUUGAAAGAAGAAGAAAAUUAGAGACAGAAAAGUACUGAAAACCAAACAUCUCAAGCUGAAGCCAUAACACUGUAGGAGUAUGCUACUAGCCCUACUGUGGCAAUCUUAGGCUGCUAGAACCAAAAGGGUCUAACUGCAGAUCUCAAACCCUGACUCGAUCGACUCCUAACAUAUGCAACCAGCUAAAUCACCAGCUUCGUCGUCUCAUGCGACCGCUCCGGCUCCCUCUGGUGAUCCCUGCAUGAUGAU